rnacentral:lncRNA from 1 species
ACGCAGAGUAAGUGAUUCUAGUUGACUCAAACAGUCAAACACGAGAAUCCCGUCGCCAAUUCUAGUAGGUUCUUCGCUUGAUUCCGUCAUCUUACAUCUUAGCCUGCGGAUGUUUGGUAACUUUGUCAGUAUCUUUUGUAAGCUUUGAGAGGAGGGAUCAAUGGCAAGGCUUAAAGCGUCUAAAUGAAGUAAGCCUGGGGAUACUUCAAGAUUUUCAACAGGAAAAAUAAAACCAACAGAGGAAUCUGUAGUCCACAGAUGCCUCAAUGUCUUAAUGUUCCAGAUAGUCUUGGGUAACAAACAAUCAGCGUUGUUUCCUCGUAGCAGAAAAGUUUGUAACCUCGAGAGGUUAGCAAUUGCAGUUGGGAUAGAAUCUAUUAAGUUAAGACGAAGAGCCAAGUAUCUCAAGUGAGCAAGCAAAAAUACUUCCAUAGGAAAAUAUGCACCAAACUCCAAUUCCCCCAAAUCCAACACUCUAAGAAGUUUAGGUAACCAAAAUCCCAAAUCAUCCUCUUUAAACAAUAACAAACUGCGUACAUUGGGAAAUUCUAACAUUAACUCCCAAAUCAUGAAAUUCCUGCCAUUUUGAUCACAAACUCGGAGGGGGUUGCUUGGGCCAGUAAGAAUAAAACGAUCAUUCCGACCAUGCAAAACAUGUAGAAAGUUUUCUUCUUUGGCUUUUUUCACACAAAACUCAUGUACCAAAUCAUGAACUCGGCAGGCUUUGGCACCACCCAUAGAUCUUUGUUCAGAAACCAUAACUAAACUUCUAUCAACCAGAUCCUUCAAAUAGUCAUUUGCCGCAUCCUCUAAACUCUUUUCUUCAGUCUUUCGCACGAAGCCUUCAGAGAUCCAGAGCCAUAACAACCUUCGGAUAGGAACAUUUUCAUCUUCUUUAUAUGCACCAAAGUAAAGGAGGCAUGGCUUCAAAUCAUCCGAUAAAUGACUGUAACUCAGCUCAAGCGUCUUCCUGCAGUAUUCGUCAUCAAGGACAAUACUGGAAGUUAGACUCUCUGCAACUUCUUCCCAGCAGUCUUCUGCAGUAUUAGCAAGAAUUCCAGCAACGAGGACAACUGUGAGAGGUAAACCCCUACAUAAUUUUGCUAUUUGAGAUCCAACUUUACCCAGUGCCGGAGGAAAACCUUCUUUGCCAAAUACCUUUUUCUGCAGCAAUUUCCAACUCUCUUCGUUGGUAAGCUGACGGAGAUUGUGAGCCUUGCUAUUAGGAUUGAAUUGCAAUUGAAUUCUGUUGGUGAAGAGAAUCCUACUUCCAUUAGCAUCAUCGGGCAAUGAACUUUUGACCAAAUUCCAUGCCUUAAUCUCCCACACAUCAUCCAAAAAAAUGAGAUACCUAUUUCUCUUUAAAAGUUUGUACAGCUUGUGAGCCAAAUCACUUUCGUCCAUCUCAAGAUAUUGAUCAGGACUUUUAGAAGAAAUACUACAUAAAAGCUGAACUAACAAACUGUGCAUGCUAUACACGUGAGAAACAGUACACCGAGCAAGGAUAUGAAAGUGGCUUAAAAUUAAUGGAUCAGUAAACUCUAUUGGCCAUUGUUGUCUUACCAAGUCCAGCCAUACCCACAAUUGAAACAAAAUCCAACAGCUUUGAACCCCUGGUAAGACUAUGAAUAAUUGUCUUUACCUCAUCAUCAAGACCCACCAGAACUUCAUUCAACACUGGGGUGCUACGUUUUGCCUCAAUGCGGAAAGAUUUCUGGUUAGUUCUCUGAGCUUCAUAGUCAUGCCUCGUGCUAUCAUAGGUUUCAAGGGCCUCAGUCCUCAAAAGCUGGAUAUCGCUGGCAACUCUUUCCAAAUAUUGAUGUUUAUCACCAACCACUAUAGAGUCAAUGACAAACUCUGCCCUGUGUGCAACCUCCAUAACAUGACUCCAAAGAGAUUGGAGUUUUCCAUUCCGGUUGCGCUGGUCUACUAUUUUGGCAAGGAAAGAUCUUAAGAAUACGAGAUCUUCUAGGACUGUGUGGAUUUGAUCUUCUGGGAAUGCAAUUGAAUCGUCAGCCUCAUUACAACUUUCUAGUUCCUUCAGAUUUUCAAGCAGAAAAUCCAUACAGCCCAACUCAUUGGUCCUAGGAAAACCAAAUGGCGAGAAUGAUGUUACUGGAUCGGUAACUUCUGCCCUAAUAAACUUGAGCGCUUUAAGCAAAUGAAAAAGAGCAAGAUCGGUUUCCUUGGCCAAGCCUUCUUUGAUUUGAUUCAGAGAGAGAGAGAAGAUUACAACCGCUGCAUCGCAGGACACAACUCCAAUCAGAUUCUUCAUUUCAUGGCAUAGCUCUUUGAACUUCUCCUGAUGCCUGAGGAGGAUUGUCAGGAAUCUUAGCCCCUCGACAAAUUUGAGCAUUUGAUUCAUAAUCGGGACUGGAGUACUGGUACAAGAUUUCAGCAGCUCCUUAAUAUUGUGAACGAGAUAAUCCAUAAAGUCAACUACUAGAUGCUUAUUCUUCUCCAGAGCUGAAGUGUCUGAUGAUCUUGAUAACUUUGCAGCAGUCAAGACAUGGAUGUAACUUUCUCGGACCUGGGGAUCACCGGGAUUAAUCUUCUCGCGUAUUAGUCGAGUCAUUUGAAGUUCUGUUUCAUUCUGUACUUCUUUAUUUGUGUGAAAGCACCAUACAGAAGCCAGGUGUAAUGCAUUGAUAGCCACCACUUCACCGUGAAUCAAGAGAUCUAUCAGUUGCUGACCCUUGACGCCGCGAAGCAUGGCAAAAAGAAUGAAACUCUUCAAGAACAUUAGGUUCUCUACAAGGCGUUCCAAAUGGAAUCCAUUCAUUUUAGCCAGAGCCUUUGAAACCGAAUCAAUGAAAUCAAUAACUAGUUCUGGAUCUCUCAGCCAGUAAUACUCCAACAAAAAGUUGAUGCACGGUUCCUUGAUAUGUCGCUCGAAAAACAACUUGAUUGCUUCCCGAAAUCUGGUGAGCUCACGUAGGAUCUGAGUCAAACCAGCUAAAUGAGAAGGAAUCAAGCAUUCGCUGCAAGCAAAUUCAAGAUCUUGCAUUCUUCUGAUAAUCAGAUUUUGAAUUCUGAAAGAAGUAACAUCCUUCUCUUCCUUAUCUUGUUCCAAACAGGUUUUAUGGUUCCUCCUCCUCCUCCUACACUUUGUCAGAUACAGAUCAAAGCUUUGUAAAAGUCUCACGUCGAUCUCCAGCUCAUAGAUAACAUCACCGAAAUAAUGGAAUGUCUUAUCGAUCAAGCCCAGAAAAUCGAGAGCGAGUUCAAAGCAACUACGGCUACUGCUGCAGCAUAUCUCCAUUGUUGUACCUUCUAUUCACUCUGAGAUCAUAUUUGCAUCUUGAAUAAACUUUAGUUCAAGGUUUACAACUUUUCUCAUAACCUGAAAAUAGUCAAAUAUUGUCGGCAAGUUGUGUUGGUAGAGACAUUUAGGGUCCCCACCCCGGAGCCUAAGCGAGACAGCUUUUGUCUACUUCCGGCCCAACGUGCAUUUCGAAAUAAUGGAUCCUAAAGCAGUAAAUGGUUGUAAUACUACGGUAAGUGCAACAUUGGUUUUGAUACUAGGGCAGUAAAUAGUAGUAAUUUUACCAGAAUGUAAACACCCUAGUCGAAAUUGCUCAAAGUUAAUAGUUGAACUAUUUUUUUUUCCCAUCAAAACCAUUCAUUAUCCUUGUCAAAACUCCGCGCAUAUUAAUUGAACAAUUCUUGUAAAUCCAAUUCAUAUGCGAAGUCACAACAAAAAUCCUACCAAUUUAGAAAGAGUUCAUUUAUAAAAAAAAAAAAAAAAGUGAUUUUAAAUCACGACAUUUCUUUCUAAGUGAGAGACAUAAACAUAAGAAUCCCUAAAAUUACAAAGAGUUGGGUUAUCCAUUAAUUUGUUUUUGUCUUAACUCAUAUAUGGCUUUCUAUAUAAAAAUAUUAAUGAAUUUUAACUGUGAUUCUCUUAUCAAAAGGAAUUGAAUUGUUCUUUGAACUACUGUACAGGAGGGCGGGAAAAAACCAUAGCAAUUAGCUAGCAUAAAGCCAUCAGGAAGACUAAAUUGCUAAAAUCAUCUUAGGGACAAGAGUUUGCUAGUAACCAAACAAUCAUAACAAUGAAAAAACAUCCAUUUUUAAUGAAAAAUCACCUUGACAAACAUUAAGAUAUUAGCCCAACAUUUGAAUUUUCCAACUGAAAAUUGAAGAAAUAUAGCAUCCCCUUAGAAAAGGUAUUUGCCAACCACCUUAAAUCAGUAAUCCAAAUUUCAGGCUUCUAAAGUCUUCCAGAUAUAUUGCCCAUUUUUAGCUUUUCUUUCGACAAUGUACUUCGAUACUUAUAAGUAAAACAAUAUGAAGAUAACAAGAAAUAACAUGCCCAAAAGGUAAAUCAUCCGAUCUACCUCUUCCAAGUAGAAAAUAUGAUCUAGACUCUCAACCUACUUAAAAAGGCUACAUUAAGGAAGUUGAUCGCAUAAAAGACGAAGCAAGAAGAAACAUACCAAAGAAGCCUACCAUUAAAUGUAUCCUAGGAUCCCUAGAUUGUUUAACUAAAAUGAUAAGCCGAGGCUACUGAGAAUUCACCUAAACUUGUCAAAGACCAAGACAUAUUUGUCCAUAGAGUCACCAAGAGGAGGAUUUGUAUGGUAAAAUUUUGGAAAAGUGCAAAUCUUCCUCGAACACCAAAAAUUGAGGCUUAAAGUUCCUUCAAGUGUUGGAAAAGUCUACAGCGAGGAAGAGUAACCAUAAGUCACAAAUGAGUGACUAAUGUAAUACGACAUGUAGGUUUUAAUAAGCUAUUAUAUAAGUUUCACUAGGGACAAAGUUGUGGCAGUAAAUUGUGUAUAACCAAUAGUAAGUUUUUGUAUAAAAGAAAUGAAUUUCACAGUUUCUGUAACUAACUCUUUAAAUAACAAUCUUAUUAAAUUUUUAGUAUCACUUUUGGUCCAAAUCUUAUCAUUUUUUAUAUAAAACAUAUCUUACUAAUUUUUCAAGCAAAACUUACCGUUUGUUCAAACACAGAAGUUAUUACUUGUUCAAGCAUAAUUUAUUACAUUAUUAACAUAUCUUAACAUUUUUUCAUGCAAACCAUUCCAAUUUUUAAGUAAAAUUUACCGUUCUUUUAUUGAAACUCACAACUACUUUUUUAUGACUAAAAAGCUCUUGGUAAAAUUUAUCAUCCUGUUAAUGAUAUUUACAAAAUUUCUUCAGGCACUUUUUAUGCUUUUUUUUUAAAAAAAAUACUCUUACUUAGCAAAAACAUAUAGCGUUAUUAGCAAAACUUAUUACUCUAUAACAUUUUUCUAUGAAUAAUUUAGUUAGUGCAUACAAUUUUCGAUCUGUAGCUUAUAUAUUCACAGUCAUUGCUUAUUUACAAUUGAAUACGUGUUUAAAUAAAACUAUAUUCUAACAAAACACUAAAUUUUUUACUCUACGCAACCAACCAAUGCCUUAAGAUGAACAUUGCACUAGUCCUUAAAGUAUAGCACUAUUCUUUCUCAUGAAUAUUAUUGAUAAUUUUAUUGCAAAGUGUAAUUUUAUUAGGAACAUACCAAUUUUCUUAGUAAAUUUACAACUAUAUUAUUAACGAUUCCUGGUUUUUGCAAACAUAAGAAAACAUCUUAUAAGUUUGCAUGUUACUCCCUCCGUCCCAUUUAUUUCGUCAUGUUUGGAGAAUUUAAUUUUUUAAUAAUAGUGAUUUGAUUGUAAUGUUUGUGCUUCUUUUUUUAAUUUUACUCCUACAAAUUUAAAAUUUAAAUUUAAAUGAUAACAUGCAUAUUAUUAGAAAUAAGAAUUAUAUUAAAAAGACAGAUUAAAAGAUAUUUUGACUUUUUUAAUAUAAUAAUUAUUUUAAAAUAUUUCAAAAUAGAAAGUAUAACAUGAGAGGAGAGAGCACUGUUUAGGAUGUUGACAACUACUAUAGUCAAAUAUUUGGCAGACUCUUUGUUCUUGUCCUUUUUGCAGCUUCCAAGACUGUUUAUCUUGUCUUGGUCUGUUUGGGGGAGACUUUAUGAAUUAUGAUGCAAGGGGAGCCGUGCGUAAUGGAUCCCGCCGCACCGCUGCACGAUGGAAAAGCGAUGAUGUCUACUUGCUUGGGUCCGGCAAACCUAAUUCAAUACAACCAAUCGUUUGAAUCGGAAUGGAUCUUCGGUCACAUUUAUUUUCUCUAUCAAUCUUUGUCCUACUUUAAUUAAUUCAGUUGAGUUUUACGUAGAAGAUCAAUUUAUUAAUCCAGUUGCUCCCAAGAAGUGCAGAAGGAGAAAAGACUAUAUAAAAUUAUUAAAAUGAUGCAAACACUUAAACCUACCAAGCCAAAUACUGUGACGCCUUGGCCAUAUACAGAAUCCAGUAGCAGAUAUUAAGCAAAAACCCAUUAGAAAAAUGCAUUAUUUGUUUUGCUAUUUAUCCAUAUGAAAUUCUAAUCAUAUAUUUCCUUUGAGGACAAUAGGAUGGGUUUAAUUUAGGCACAUAGAUCUUUUUUUUUUUUUUUCGUUGAAGAGGCACUAGGUAUUGUAGUAUUCACAGAAACAAAAGUCCGUACAUCUGCUCAUGUUGAACACUAAUAGUGCAUAAAAAAAAUAGCAUAUGUAUGCAAUGAUAGUGCAUAAAAAUAUUAUAUCUGAAGAAUCACAAAAUUUUUUGUGUGAAUUUAUUAACGCUUUAGUUGUAUAGAAUAGAAUCAAUGAUUUCUCUAAUUGAAAUAUAUUUUUUGAAAUUUUUAUAGAAAAAUAUACCAUGGUGAUUUGAUAUAUGCAACAUAAAAAAAUGAUUGAGAAAUAUAUUCAUAAAAAAUAUAAAAACUAAGCUCCUAACUAAGUUGGUGUUCACAAGGGUAAUGAUGGUAUUCAUGGGAAAAUAGUUUAAGCUAUUAGUGUGAGCAGUUCUGGGUAUGGUAUUUACAUGUUAAAUUUUAUGGACCAUUGAGGCCUUAACAACAGAUCCCUUGAAGACCUAUGCAAGGUAAAUAUGCUAUGUGUCUAUAUUAAAAAAAAGUUUAGAAAUAGAUUUGAAUUUAUGGGUUUUUUAUUUUUCAAAUUAAAUAUUACUUUGCAAAGAUGUUUUUGAUUUGUAAUUCUGUAUACCUAAAAUCUAAUACUGCAAGACAAUUCAUAUUUUUAUUAAAACCUUUUUCUUUUCUACACUACUAGUGAUGGGCUCACAAUUUGUCGCAUUCAGAAAUCCCAUUUUUGGCCCUUUUGUUUUCAAACCCAAGUGAAUAUUGGCCAAACAUAAAUUGGAGAUGCAGAUUGGAUGACAAGAUAUCAUCAGCUUCAGCUUAAGUCAAGCUUUGAAGAUAAUUAUGUAUCCAUCAAAAUAAUCUUCAAUUUUCUUCUUACAAUUUUCUUCUUACACUUUUUAACCAGAUUUCCUUCUUACAAUUUUCAAUUUUCAAGUCAUGCAAUAAUGGAAUGUAUUCUUUAGCUCUGUACCGUGUGAUUUAUGGCAAGAAGUAGGCACUCAGCUAAGUGAAUACAAAAUUUAAGGGAAACAUAAAACAAAAACCUGCUGCAGACCAGCCUGAUGAAGCAGUGAGAUCUACCUUGGGCUUAGCUGGAAAAGAGGUCAUGUUGAAGGCAGUUGCAAUGGCCAUGCCUACGUACGUAAUGUCAUGCUUCAAGCUGCCAUGUCUAAUUUCUGGUGGGGUGAAACCGAGGGAAGAAAUAAAAUGCACUGGAUAUCUUGGGACAAAAUGGUAGCACACAAAAACACAGGUGGCCUUGGCUUCAAGGAUUUGGAAGCCUUCAAUAAAGCUCUACUGGGUAAGCAGGUAUGGAGGUUACUAACUAAGCCAAACCUUCUUGUCAGUAAGGUGUUAAAAGGCUAAAUAUUUCCCUCAAGAAUCCAUUUUACAAUGCACCCCUCCUAAGAACGGAUCAUGGAUUUGGCAAGGAUUAAUGGGAGCAAGAGGUUUACUAGAUGAAGGCUUGAUGAGGAGAAUUGGAAAUGGCAGAAGCACGAGAAUUUGGGCCCACAAAUGGAUACCAGAGACACCCACGGGGAAGCCAACUAUGUGCAGAACAAGUAAUUGUGAGCUGGAAAUGGUGGAUGAGCUAAUAUGCCAGCAGAGAUGGAACAGGACUAUCAUAUUCAGCAACUUCCAUAAAGAAGAUGCUGAGAAGAUCCUCCGUAUCCCCCUAAGCCUAUCUGGGAGGGAAGAUAGCUUCUACUGGAAACCAAAUGCGGGAGGGGAGUAUACAGUUGAUUCAGGAUAUAAAAUGUUGAUGGAGAAAGGUAGAAGCAAAAGGAAGUGCAAAUUGGAGGGAGCUGGAUCAAGUAUUUCAGAAGAAAGCCAACAAAUGACUCAGAUGUGGAGUACACUGUGGAGGCUUAAUAUUAAGCAUAAAAUCAAACACUUCAUCUAGAAGUGUAUUAAAGGAGCCUCACUAGUCAGGGAGGCAGUGUGGAGACGAACAGGAAUAGGUGAUCCUAUAUGCUCAACUUGUGGUGAGGCACAAGAAACCAUAGAACAUCUGCUGCUCAACUGUUCCCAUGCUAUGGAUAUAUGGAAAUCAGCUCCCAUUCAAUGGGAUGGAGCAACAGACCAAAAGGGAGAUUUCAAGAGAUGGUGGCUGCGAAUUUCAGAAGCAAGGACUAGACCAGAAGGGAAGGAUCAUAUUGGACUGACAGCAAAUAUACUGUGGCAGGUAUGGAAAGAUAGGAAUAAGAAGGAAUUUGAGAGCUCAGCUAGAUCAACACCAAUGAGAACAGUAGACCGUGCGCAUAAAGAAUGGCUGGAACAAGGUGUAGAGCUCCAACAGGGCGAUAGGAAGAGUACAGAAGAAACAGUCCCUGCAAAUGAACAACAAAGCCAGAGUAAUGGAAACGAAGGGGCUAUAAUUUUAGAAGUGACAACAGCAAAGAAGCAAGAACAGAAUGGCCUUGGAAUAGGAGUCACAGUAAGAAUAAUAGCAAACACUAAAAUUGCAGACUGGGUACUGAAAGAGAGAAGCCUGGGGAGUAAAAUUUUGGAUGAAGCAUUGGCAUUAAAACUAGCUCUGUGUAAAGCUGUGCACCAGCAGUGGAGAAAGGUACGACUCAACUUUUGCAACAAAGAGCUAUGGAAACAACUAAUACAGCAACAACCAACAGAUAGCAAGAUGGCUACAUUGCUGGAGGAUAUUCUGAAUCUGAAAAGACUGUUUUGCAUGUACUCUUUUGGGUUGGAAAGGGAAGAAAAUAUGUUAGAUAGUAGAAAACUGAGUGCAGACACUUUAAGCGUAAUUGUGGAUGAGGAAAGAAUUUUCCUCAGUGUUCUUUGAACACUUUUUGUACAGUUCCCUCGAGCCGUUGCUUGUACAUGUAACUUGUUUUUUAUGAUAAUAAAAUUUCCUAUCGUUUGGACAAAAAAAAAAAAAGAGAUCUACCUUGGGCAUCAUUAUGCUUUUUAAGGACUGUGAGAUAGAAGCCCUGAUAUUGCAUAAAAUCUUUUCAACAUAUCUGUGAAACUAUUUUCGUAUUUUACGGUCUUUGAGUCUCAGUUGUGAUCACUGUAAGUGCUUACUUUAAAUAUUCACUGAGGAAGAGCUAUAUCUGGCAAAUGCAAAGAUAGGUUAGCAACCAUAGAUCCGUCUCAUUUUUGUUGUUUUGCUUAAAAUCUUUGCUCACCCAUUAAGGUUUACGUUUCUGUGGUUUACCCCAAACAGUUAGCAGUAUGCUUACGGUAAUGAAAUGCACAUGCUCUGCUCUUGGCAACAAUAUCUGCAGUUUUUUGGGAAAAUAAAUGGGACAAGCUGAUAGCUUAUUUCCCAAACUCUGAUGAAUGGUUCAGUGAUCCACAAAGAUUGUGUCCUACAGAAUGUGGAGAGAAAUCAGACUCUUGGCUGACUCUAAGCCUGUUGUUGCAUCAAUGGCUGAUGUGGCAGCUAGUGGAGGAUAUUAUACGGCAAUGGGAGCUGGAAUUAUAGUUGCAGAAAAUCUAACAUUGACUGGUUCAAUUGGAGUUGUGACAGGUAAUUGUGGAAACUCCAAGUGAUAAUUUUCUUAAAUUAUAUCUGUUCUUUGUUAUGUGAUUUAUAUGUCAUUUGUUGUUUAAGACCUUGUCAGUAGCUAUGGUGAUGAGUUUUGUAUGAGCAGAAACCAACUGGAUAAAAGAGAUAAUGAUUCCACAAGAAAUGCAUGUAGCAUUUUAAAUGUGUUGCCUGGCUAUAAAUAAGCAGUCCCAAUGGCACUCUGGUAUUGUCUAUGGGAAUAGCAUUUGAUAGGGCCCAAGUCAGGAGUCAUUACUGCAUUACUGCAUGCAAUUGCUGUAAUUCUCACCUUAGACAAGUUUAGAAUGCAGGAUAAGCUACUUGUAAUGUUAUAAAUCAGAUUUAGGUGGGAAUGCUAUCUAAUUUGAUAAUCAACUGCAGGAAUGAGGUCACCUGUGUAAUUAGAUGUACCUAAUUGUGAUUUAGCUAGCAAAAGUAAUUGUCUGCCAGGUCUUUUCUUUCCUGUUCUACUGACGCGGCAUUAGUGGAAAUUUAUUUUGUGUUUUCCACUGAUUUGUUAUGGCGAGCUCUGAUAGCUUUGGUUAUUAUUUCUCACAGUUCGAUUUUUUCUGCCUUUAUUUGAAUGCCUUUUCUUUUUCUCGUACAGUUGUUGCAAAUAGAUGAGUAGUGUUCGUUCUUUAAAUUAAGCACCUUUGACCCAAGCCGAGCUUUCCAUUGGAGAUUGCACAAAAUGAAUUCAUGCACUAUUGGCAGAUUUUGUCACUGUUUUGGUGCAGGAAAGUUCAAUCUGGGAAAAUUAUAUGAAAAGAUUGGCUUUAACGAGGAGAUAAUAUCAAGGGGGAGAUGUGCUGAGCUCACCGCUGCAGAACAACGGCCAUUUAGGUUAGUUUUUGUUCUGCUGUUUGGUGAAUUUCUAUAUGUUAAUUAAAAAUGGACAGCAUUUCCUUCAUCAUUUACAAGACAAAUUUAUGAAAAAAUAAUGGAUUAAGGAAAAAAAAAAUGGUGUUACAGUAUAGAUGCUUCUUUUCUAGCCCAAGUAAUUCACUUCCUGAACAAGAAUAUUUGAUGUGCCACAUAUGCCCAUGUUGCCUAUUAUCAGAUAUUAGACGGCAAAACUGGAGCAGUGGAUUAUGCCGAUCUUCGAGUGAGGCACAUUUAUGUGGCCAAACCAUUCUUCUGCGCAGAUUUAUUAGCUUCGUGUUUGUGAUUUCAUUUACCCUUGAUAUCCAUUUUUGGGGUAGCAGUCUGCAGACAUGCUUAAGUUUGUGCCCAGGCAUACAGAAAAUGGGGUUAAUUCUUUCUUGUCUUGCAUCUCCUCCUGCACCCCUUAAGUGCCAUUCUUUUUGCAUUUUUAUCCAUGUACUCCAUUUGGAAAAGAAAAAAGGAAUGAUAAAGAAACUACCUGUAAAUGCUGGGAAUGAAAACCCAAUAUGUACACUUGAUUUAAGCUUUUGCAUGAUUGAACAACAAAAUUGAUCUUGAUUGCAGUUGAUCUGAAACUACAUGCCCUAGGCUUUUUGAUUGCAGUUUUAGAGUUAGGAUACUAAGAUAUAUGUGUUGGAUAAACCUGAGAAGCAUUACAUAAGGAAAACGUGAUUCGGGUACUGGAUCUGUGUUUAGCCAUCAUGGUUGAGCAUUUCUGUUCUGUCUGCAAAGUGUGAUGCUAAAUAAUCGGUGCUUGAAGUUUUCUCUUGCCGGCGGAGCUUGUUUACAUGAUAUCUGCAAUCGAUUUGAUGAGAUGGGCUUCACUUUUCUGUUAUGUUAAUUUUUCUGUUGGAUUGAUGAUGAUUCAUGUUCAGGUUACUCUUGUUGAGCUGGUUAAACCAUCGCCAUCGCUGCCAGAGAUUUUAACUGGCAUAGGAAACUCUCUCGUCGGAGCAGACAGAAUUUUGAAACAACUAUUGGAUGAAUUGGCAGUUUCUGAUGGAAUUCAAGCGCGCAUGGACGGGAUUUUGUUUCAAAAGUUGGAAGGGGCUGAUUAUUCCAGUCCUAUAUUGACAAUGGUGAAAGAUUACCUGGGUUCACUUUGACUUCAAUGUAUAAUUGUUCGCGUCCAAAUGAGUUUCAUAGCAGCGUGGCAGUCACCACAGACCCUAAGAUUCUUGUAUAUCCUAAUGGGUGCUCCUUGUGGCACAUAUAGAAGGCCAAACGCAACGGCCAACUUCUCACUAUGGUAGGCAAGACCUUGUUCCUUACCCUCGUCGUUGAUGUCAUGGAGUGCAAAAUUCACGUCUGGUACAUAUCCAGCGUUCUUGAUUAAACCCAUGACUUCACUAGUUCUCAAGUAGAUCUGAUCGGACUUUGGAUGGCUUCUAUCUUCAGACAUAAAUCUGUGCACCUUACCGUUCAUUUCGAGCCAACUAUAUACCCAGGCUCCUUGCUUAUGCACUUUGAUUUCAUCAGUUUCCUCACUGCUGCAGCAUCUUCCCACUUGCCAGCUUUAGAGUACAUAUUAGACAGCAUAACGUAAGGGACAGCAUCUUUUGGCGUCAAUUUAAACAGGACCGAAGCUGCCUUCUUCGCCAGGUCUAUAUUCCCAUGUUUCCUACAUGCAGCAAGGAAAACUUUCCAAACAGUCGCACCAGGCUCCACAGCCAUUUCAUCGAGCAACUUUUCAGCUUCGAGCAGUUUUCCUGCACGUCCCAGAAGGUCAACCAUACAUGCAUAGUGAUCAGGACCAGGCCUUAUUCCAUGAACAUUUAUCAUGGAUUCAAAAUAUCUACAUCCCUGAUCAAUAAGCCCUGCAUGGCUGCAAGCAAAAAGUAUUCCUGUUAGCCAUUGACUUGAAAACUCUGUCGGCCUCUUCUAAGCAGCCACAAUUUGCAUACAUUGUCACAAGAGAGUUGUCAACCAGUAAGGAUGACUGAAGUCCAGAUUUCAUGAAAUUUGCAUGAACUUGUUGUCCAAACUCUAGCAAAGCCAACUCUGCACAGGAACUCAAGAUGCUAGAAGUGAUAACUUGGUCAGGUUCAACACCAGAAUUUCUCAUCUUGCAGAACAACUUCAGGGCUUCUUCAUGGGAGCCAUUAUGAGCGCAACCAGUAACAGCAGAGGUCCAAGAGAUCACGUCCCUGUCCAAUAUAGUGUUAAACACCUUAAAUGCAUAACUUAAAUCUCCCUGUUUUGCAUACAUAUCCACAAGGGCAUUGCCAAUGAGAUUAUAGCCUUGAAAGCCAGUCUUGAUCACUCAACAAUGAACGGAUUGUCCUAUUUUCACAUCCUUUUUGGAAGUAAGACAGUUCAAGACGGAUGGGUAAGUGAAGUCAUCAACUCCGAUAUCCCUCUCAUGCAUCACCUUAAAUAAUGACAAUGCUUCCUCUUCAUACCCAUUUUUCACAUACCCAAGUACCAAUGAAUUCCAAGAAACCGCAUGAUCAGCUUCCAUUGACUCCAAUACCUUCCUAGCACUAUGCAAGUCCCCACAUUUAGCAUACAUGUCAAUUAAUGCACUCUGAACAAAGACGUUUGCUUCAAAACCUUCACGAACAAUGCAACAAUGCACCUGUAUCCCAAACCUAAUAUCAGAAACAGCAGCACAUGCUGUCAAAACUCCUCGAAAGGUAUAUUGAUUUGCCUCAACCCCUCCACCUUCAUGCCUCUGAAACAAUGAAUUGUUUUGUGUGCAUCACCAUUCAGCGAAUAGCCAUUAAUCAUAGCGGUCCAAGUAACAUGAUUUCUCCCGCUAGGCAUCUCUUCAAAUAGCAACUCAGCUUCCAUCACACACAAGCACUUUGCAUACAUAUCAAUAAGGCCAGUGAUUACAAAUACAUUUGUGUCAAAAUUGGUCUUAGUGGCAUAUCCAUGGACCUGUUUGCCUUUCAAAAGCAAACCGUUUACAGAGCACACCCUUAGAAGACUGCCUAAUGUGUACUGACUCGGCUUGCAGCCCUCGCAUUGCAUCUCCCAAAACAACAGAAAACCUUCAGUUUCAUACCCGUACUUGCAAUACCCACAAAUGAGGAAUGACCAGCUGAUUUAACUCUUAUUUGGGGCAUCAUCAAACACUUUCUUUGCUUCAGUUAACCUCCCUAAAUCAGCAUACCCAGAAACCAUAGUGUUCCAAGUGAACCCAUCUCUUUGGGGAAUUUUCUCAAAUAGUUUCCGUGCUUCGUCUAUUCGGCCUGAUCCCACCAGCUCUUUCAAAGAUCUAUUGAUGCCAAGCAGUGAAGAUUUAGUGCUUGCCAAGCUCGCAAUGCUGCAAGCUUUAAGACUCAAAUCGAAGCACCAAUCUGGAUAAGAAGAAGACUCUGUUAAUAAACUAUUGUACCGCGAGCAUAGUUUGUACAUGAGCACAGGCUUUUCUUUCUGCAGCCUCGGCCAGAAAAAAUCGUUAUUCGCUUGUCAGUCUAAGUGAAAGGCGUGAAACUAAUCUCUAACUUGUCCUAACGACUUCAAGUUACAUUACAAUGCCAAUAUCUUGGCAAAUUGGUCAGUGAAGAAGCUUAACGACUCAACAAGGGUCACGACUAGCGUUGUAAUCGAGUCGAUACUCGAGCUCGACUCGACAUACAACUAGGGUGUUCGAGCUCGAGCGAGUAGUAUUAUUGGAGCUCGAGCUCGAGCUCGAAGCUUGCUCGCAGUACUCGAGCUCGACUCGCAUGGGUUCGAGUCCAUUCGAGCCUUAUCGAGUUCGCUCGAGCUCGAGUUAUUAAACUUUAUUUUCUUAAUAUUUUUUAAGCAAAAAGACAUUAUUGCCCUUUUAAAAUUUUUAUAUGACUUGAAACAUUUCGUAAAUUCGACAAUUCUUUUGGGUAUAAGGGUAAUUUUAUAAUAAUAAUAUAUUAAAUAAUUAAAAUUAAAAAUAUUAAAUAAUUAAAAUUAAAAUGCUCGAUAAGGCUCGUUGAGCUUUCGAGCAUCGCUUCUAGAUGCUCGAACUCGACUCGACAGUCUUAUCGAGCUGCUCGAACUCGGUUUGACCGAGUUCGAGUCAAAUUUUUGACCGAGCUGCUCGCGAGCUACUCGCGAGCAGCUCGGUUCGAUUACAUCCCUAGUCACGACUCACGAUGACUUGAGUCCCUUGCGAGUCGAACUCUAAGUUUUGUGAGCAAUGCAUCAAGGUUAAGCUGGAGUUUCAGUAAUAUUACUCGCUUGAGAUUGAGUAUCUUUAUGCAUGUUAAGUAGAGUUUGAAUAUAAUGAUACUCGAGUGUAACUUAACUUGAUUACAUCCCCAAUCGUUUUAUUAUGUCUUUCAUUUUAAUAAUUUUCACGAAAUUAAAAAUUACGAUGGAGCUAGCAGGAAAUUAGCUUGGGCCUUGGGUUAGACAAGGAGAAAAGAUGGCUAGGAAUUCCCCAAAAAAAAAAAUCCCCCAAAAAUUCUGCAGCACUUGCAUACAGCCUCAAUUUAAUAAUAGUAACUUCUAUGUCAUCUAUAUAAUGGAGUACCCAUCGAGAGAAAGUUCAUAUUUCCACCGAUAUUCGUUGACAGUUAGAGUUAUAUAAACAAUCGAAGUUGGCCACUAACAAUGAUUAAAUGAUCAUUAACUAUAUUAAAUUAUAAAGUUUGGAUAGUCCAAAUCUGUACUCCACAAGUCUCUCAACUUCUUUCGCAGACUUCUUUUAGUCACCAUCAAUAUUUUGUUCCCACGUUUUGGUUGUUUAUAAUUUGCUGCAGACCGAAUCAACCUUAAAAAUGGUCUUUGACAAGUCAAUGCAUAGCUCUUUGUGCCAAAUUAAUGGUCGUAAGCUAAACCAUACAAUACGUAGAAAACUAGUUGAAACCUACCACAAAAACAAACUUGGUUGAGUUUUGUGGUUUUACUCUCUCUUCCACAGCAAUCCUAACUUUAUGAAUAGCCUUUUUCAUUAGGUUAACAGGGUCUUGCAUGAAGGUUGGGUAGAUUGCAUGGUAAGAUGGGAUGAAUUGUGAAUAGAAAAUUUUGGAUUCAAAACCUUCCGCUUAUCAAAAAGAAAAAAAGAGCCUAAAGAGAUGUCGUGUCCAUUUUAACAAAAGCAGAAGGUUUUGGAUCAAGACCAUGCGCAUAUAAUAAAUUCUAAGGGGUAAACAGGAUACCUUAGAAAAUUUUAGGGACUUCUAAGGUAAUUUAACCACUGGCAAAACAUUUGUUAUUUUUUGGCCCGUCAGCCCUUGGAGUUCUUUUUAUUUACUAACAACCAGAGCAAGGAAUUCAGCAAGAAAAAAAAAAUUUCAUUGAAAUUCGGGCAGAACCAUAUAGAGUCCUGAGUAAAUUUGUGACCCAUUAGUUUUCAUUGCGUUAUUCUGACAAUGUACAUGGAUGUUGAGAAACUUGUAAUGAUUUGAGUGGGGGUGGAUCAGACAAGACGUGUUCAAGAUUUUGCAUGAGAUUUAGGACCUUCAAAUAUCCUGAUAAGUACGUAGAAAGUAUUUUGUUAGUCCCUUUGCCUUGAAGUAGGAACAAAAAACACCAAAAAAAAAAACAUUGAAUACGUAAUUAUAUUAAUGAGUAUCCACAAUAUUUAAUCAGUAAAUACUAGACAAACCAUGAGCCCAGUUAAAAAUAAAAAUAAGAUUCUCGACAUUGAAUUAUCAUUCAUGCACACAAAAUAAACAAGAGCAAAAGCACAUCCAAAUACAGGACAUGGCAAAUGGCAGCUGAAUUGGCUGACAGAAAAUUGAGAUAUAACAUGAAGAAUAUGGUGAAUUUCAGUCAAACCUGGAAAAACACACUCUACUUGCUGGAUGGAUGCGUAAAAACCCGAAAACCAUCCUGAUAAAUUCUUGCAGAUAGCUGGUGUUGCCUGAAUUCGUGGCAAUGGAUCUCAAGAUGGCAGGAAGGGAAUUCAUUUGGACUAUAAGGGAAAACGCCAGAAAAAUCUCCAGUUUGACUGACGAAACUAUCUCUUCCGGCCAUGUUUGUAUAUCAGAGAUGAAUUUGAAGAAGCUAUAUAUCUCUUAGGUUUGUUGUUAAUGGUAAUGGGAAUACUAUUUGUAAGGGGAGCAAAUGCCCUCCAGGUCGGAAAUAGAAAGGCCUUUAGCUUUCUUCAAAUUUUCUCUAAUUUCUUUUUGUCUCGACACGAUGAGAAAGUACAUAUUAGUGCUGAGAAACGAUCGAAACAGACAAAACAAGAAAGUUACCCAUGCCCGUAUAUGCAUUGCUAUUUGCUGGAACAAACUCAGAGGCCACAGCACUGAGAACAUUGCGCAAUAGGAAGCUCAACGGAGGAGCAUUUUGCAGAAAACGUUAAUCUGAUACCCAUCAAGCUAGUGAAUAAUGAAUCUAGCCAAUUCUCUUUUUGCUUCUUUCACGAUUUUUUUUUUAUGAUACCUUAUAGUUCAAAAAUGACAAAAACAAGACAAAUAAUAAAGUUAUCAUGUCUUUUAGGCUUGAGAACGUUCUCUUUUAGUACAUGCAUGCAAUUCAUCGGCUCAAUUUAACAAUAUCUUUGCUUGCCAAUUCUUUUCUAAAUUUUGCCGUGGGUUUUCUUUUGGAAUCCCAUUUGCUAUUUCAGGCAUUGUUUUUAUCAAAUCUAUGUAUCUCCUAUAUAUCUUUCUUCAUCAACAGGGUAAAAGAUGUUGUUUCAUGAAAAUUAAUUGAAUUUCUUUAACAUUAUUAGGGCAUGUUUGGCUAAUCCUGAGAGAUAGAAUGAGUAAGUACUCAAUUAAAUAUAUCCAACCUCAGAAUCCAAAAGCUCACUAGAUCAAUAGGAUCAUUCUGUGCGAUCCAUUUUCGCUUGCAUGCAAAACAAAAGUUGGAGCUGAAGAUCAUCAAAAUCUAGUUAUAUAUAAGACUAUAUUAUUUGCUGAAGACAUACUUGAACAAUUUUUCUUUAUGAAAAUAUAUAAAGACAUUGAAGGCAACCAAUUAACUUUCCCUAAUAUCAAGUAGUAUACCUUCAUGGCUCAAGAAAUAGUAUUUAAAAAGUAUUUCUUACCAACAUUAAUGCAUGCUUUGGCAUCAAACAUGAUGAUAAGCAUUCUCAAUAUAUCAUUUGUAUUUCACAAUAAUUUAGGAUAUAUAGCAAACAUUAUGUAUUCAUAUAUCUUACAAACAGCGGUUGCAUAGCAAACUUCAUUUAUAACUUCAAUUAUACAUAUCAAAUACAUCCAUUUCAUUCGUAUUUCACAAUUCAGGAUGUAUAGCAAAUACUAUCGUAUCUUACAAUGGAAAAUGCAUAGCAAACCCGGAUUCUUUCACAACUUCCAUAUACAAAAUAUUGGAGGAUAGCUAUAUAUUAGCAAGCACCAAGCAACGUCAUAACUUGCAAAUUUACAAGGACGGGUAGCAAGUAGCACGUAGCGAGCACUGGCAGCAUCUUCAGUGGUAACAUAUCGAUUUAUCUCCCACUUUUAUUUAGACGUUUUGGGGUUUUUCUUAUACCUCCACACUUUGAUUGCAACAAAGAGUCUACAUAUUAUAGUAGUACUUUACGAUUCAAGAGAGGGUGGCGACUAGAAGGAGUAUGACCAUCUUUUGAUGGAGGGCUGAUUGAGGAAUCAAGAUCAUGCUUUCUUGGGAAAAAAAGCAAUUCAGUUUAAGCGAUAAGAAAGAUAUAUUCCAAGAAGGCUUAAGGCAUAGAUAGACCAGGAUAUUAGCUUAAGCCAAAGGGGGAAAAACAUGGUUGUGGCAAGGAAAAACAAGGUGGCUCCAAAGAAGACCCAGGCAUAUUGUAGCACAAGACCCAGAGCAGGAUUGGAGUUCCUAGAUAUGUAGACGGAUAGAAAGAGAGCGGUGAAGCAUAAUAUUAACAUGAGACAAGCCAAGUGGAAGGCUAUUGGAAUAUGGUUCAGAUUCUGGAUCUUUAUCAUUGGAAUAUUGAUUGCUGCGAAGCAAAAUCCCAAAAUCAAUAGGUGCUGAUCUUGUUGAUUAUUUGGGGCAAAACCUAAACGUGGUGGUGGUGCAGGUACAACGUUAGCAGGAAAUAGUUGCUCAUGCAACUGAGGAGGAAAUACUAUGACUUGAACGUACCUCAGAGACUGCUCUAUCAUUCUUUUGGUUGAUGUAUAUAAACUUGCAACAUAGUUUGCUGCUUUAUCUCCCAUUGUUCAAGUCUAGUAGUCAAGAAUGUCUGAGCAAUUUUAGCUUCAGGUCACCUAUAUAUAUACAUACUGCUUAAACCCUAGGACGGAAACCACCUUAUUACGUUUCUUUAAGAAUUGUCAAAAAGAACUUCAAGAUGGUUAACUAUCAACCAUUAUCAUCUAAACAGUAAAUUUUUACAUUUCUGUGUCCAAACGAAAGGAUUAACGGGGAACUGUUUGUCAUGCAAUAAAAAUUAGAUGCAAAUGAACGCUUAAAAUUUAUCUGCUGUUGACUAUUGAAUUAUUGAUAAUAAUGGAGCACUAUUUAUCUUAUCAGUGGUUUUUUGGAAGGAAAAGUUGCCCAAAUUGUCUGUUAGAUUGUUACAUCUAUGAUUAUCCUUUCUCUAAUUUCUCACAAUUAAAGUGAUGCAUAUGCACAGAAGAUUAUUACUCGAACCAGGAAUAAGUGGAUCAACUUUCCUUGUCAAGCUUCAUAAACGAGUUCAAUCAAUACUGCAAAUAACGUACAGAGAUGGAACAUAAAUCCUAAGGUUUCGUUUGGUUUGGUUCUGUCAGUAACAAGCACUAUAUCUAAUUAUGCAUGGCCAAGAAACGGUAAGGACACAUCAAACUCUUAUCAGUUAUGUUGAUUACAGUUGUUUUCUCUCCCUGUUCUGGGGUUACAUAUAUAACCGUUUGCUAGAAUUCAGUUAAUAAAAUUCAACUCCCAAUGACAUCAAAAUUUUGCUAGCGAACACACAACAAUUAUAUUCAUCUCCUUUUUUUUUUUUGUAAAAUUGAAGAUUUUUCUUUUUUUUUUUUCGAUGCUUAGAAGUAGAUUAUUGUUUAGAACCCUUGCUAAUGAGUCAUAAUGAUAGUUUAACUCUUGUAAUUAUUUAUUUAUUUGUUUGUAAGUACAAUAUCUAUACUAUAUACAAUAGGAGAGCUUCCAUUCGAUGUAAUCAAUUCAUGUCACUUAAUGGUAUAUCAAAAAUAUCCUCUAAAACUACUUUUCAAGCUACUCAAGUUACCUCUUUUUCUCUACCAUGAUCUUAAGUACAUCCACUUAUUGACAUCUCCUCUUUUUUCUCUACCAUGAAUUUAAAUACAAUAACUUCCUAUAAAAUAAAAAAAAAGAAUAGAAUUUAUAGAUUUUUGAGAAAAGCACACAUAUGCUCUAACAUGAUUUUAAAUAUAAUAGUUGAUCAUAAAAAUAUAUAAUUAUAUAUUUUUGAAAUAAGCACAGAUGUAGGAUGUGUCAAAAUCUAGCACUAGUUAUUUAUUAUCACCAUUAGGGCAUAAAAUUACUUUAAGAAGCCAGUAGUUGCCCAUGAUCCCCCACCCCUGCACCAUCUUUUAAAAGGGGAAAAAAAAUGGAAUACUUCUCGCAGCAGGUUAAUAAAACUUAUCAAAAAAAUUUCCAACCUGUGAAUUAAUAGGAUAGUUGUACCUUAGCUGAUGACAUCGAGUGCAUUUAAUCCUAACAUAAAUGCACCAAUAAUCCAACUGGAAUCGCAAACGUUAAUACAUUGGUAGAAUACUAACAGAGCGCAAACAGUGAAGGCGGGAACAUCGUACUCAGUCUCAUACAAAAGAUGCAUUAACGUUAAUGUGUGUCGUACAAAGAUUUCAUAUUUAUUUUUUAAAAAAUUAAAAAAGGGCAGCAAUUUGCCAUUAUCUCAUGAAUGAAUUUUUAGUUUCCAGUGAAGCUAAUAAAUGCAACAACGCAACAAUUAGAUAAUUUUACUUUUGUAUCAACAAGUAAGCAAAAUCCUUUAGUUGAAACCAUAAGUUGUUGCAAGAGAGAUAAGCCAUAAGUAAAAUUAAUUCAUGAAAGAAAGUUAAAUACUAAAAAGGGUAAAAUUAAACUAUUUAUUGACCUAUCUUUUAUCUUCAAUUAGGCAUAUCACUUGGACAAUAGAAAGUAAUUAAUUUUAUACACAUACAGACACACAUAUACAUAUACACAUAUUUAGUUUCAAAGUCGUUUGUGGAGACUAAUAGACUGGCAACUAUUAUGGAAGGUGUGCGUUUGAACAUAUGCGAGAGACAUGAAAUAGUGUGUAUAAGUUGUUUUGUCUGUGAGGUCGAAGAAAGGGUUUUUAUAUGUGUUAAUAGAUAAAAAGUGAAUGCAAUGUUUGCCACAAGAAAAAGAGUGUGUUUAUUUAUGGGUCCGUGGGUAUGUAAGGGUGUGGGUGUAUGUGCAUGUGUGUGUACGAGAAAAAGGGAGGGUGAGAGCUUGUCCGUGUGUAUGUUGGUUUGUUAGGUGAUUAAUUAGGGACAACUUAAAUCUAUAUGGGUCACUUUUGCAUCUGUAUGGUCAGGUGGUGGUUCAGUUAUCGUCAGUUCUCCGUGGUCCUGUUAGGUUAACUUUUUAGUAUAAAUUAGAAUAAGAGCAGGAGUAAGCGUAUAUGGUGACAAUAGACAAAAAAAAAAAAUUAAUUAGAGAGAAAGUAAAAGAUAUGUAUGAGUAAAGGGAAGUGUAUGGUUGUAUGUGACAGAAGAGUUUGUGGAAUAGAGAUAAAUUGAUAGUUGACUACUAUUAAAUUAGCACAAAUUGCAAAAAUUCAGUGAUAAAUUUAGACUUAAAGGUGUUGUAUACAAACUGAAUGAUUAUUUAGUCAGAUUUAAGAAAAGCUGAACAAGAAAAAAAAGCACUUUAAUCAUUAGAUAAACGAUUAUUGGGGUUAUCAAUACCCCAUCUAAGAAAACAACUACUUUUAAACAAGAUGCUAACCAUUUGAAAUAUUAGCAAGAGAUAGUGUUGCAAAUGAACUGAGUUGAACUGGUUUCGGUCUAAUUAAAUUGAACUCAACUUUUGACACACUUGUACUUGAGCUCGAAAUCAAUGAACUUCUAGUAUAAAACUCAAGUUCAAGCUAAUUGAAUUCAGAACUCAAAAAUAAUCGUAUUUGAUAAAAUGGAUAAAAAUAACAUUUCACUCUAGAAAAUGCAAAAACUAAAAUUAACGAGUAAUAAAUGUAUAUUAUGAGCCUGUAGCAUAUGAGUCCAAUAUAUCUAGAUUCGAACUUCGUUCGAAAGCUCACUUCACUUGAGCUAUUUAACCCUCGACUUUGAUCACUGAGCUCGACUUGAGCCUUGACCGAACUGAUUUGCGAGCUUUCCUAAAUCAGUUCCAUCAUUUGCAGCCUUAGGUAAAAAUACGACUAUCGAUAGGUGAAAUAAAAUUAUUCAUGGAGACCCAUCGUGAAGAAGCUAGAAACAGCCGCCACAUGACUCGGGAUAAUUCUAUGCAGUACGCAGUUAUUCAUUACUAAAAAAAGAACUCAGAAGGAAACAAAAAUAGAAAGCAAGAUUUGAAUAGUUUAUAUUUUUUUCCACUAAUGACCAUGACGAGAAGAAUACUUUUUGACAGAACAAUCUGGCAUAUUGCUGGGGAAGAUCUAGCUGAUGAGUCAUGACUCACUAAGCCCGGUAAUUACAUCGCACUUUCGUACAUAAACACAUCCUUUUUUUUAAUUUAUUUGUCUGCCUACUAUAAUUGUUUUUUUUUUUUUUGGGAAAAAGGGUCUCAUAUGGUUCAACUGUCUAAUAGUUUGAAAGUUAAUGGGGUGUUUGGCAUGUGAUAUUUCACUUAAAGUUUGGCCCAAAUAGGAAACAAAGAAAAGGUAAAUACAAAUAGGAAAGAUUAAUCGUAUAUUUAGAAAGUAAAUCCAUUGAGAUGUUAAAAAAAGAGACUUUCAUUAAAACUAUGUAGAUAGUUUCAAAGAAGACAUAAUGCAGUUAUAAAGGUGAUAGAUUUGAUUCCUCCAAAAGCAAAAAAGAAGGUGAUAGAUUAGAGUAAAGUAUAACUUGAUUUCUCACUAAUGAUCAUAGAAGACAGAUGCGCCUCCAAGUCAACAAUACUCUAUUAGAAUAUUUUAUCUUGAACGCCAACAAUACUUUAUUAGAGUAUUUUAUUUUGAAUGCCAAGAUCUUUGCUUGUGGACCCCAUAAGCAUGCAAAGUAAUUAAUUACUAAUUACAUACUAAUUACUUUGCAUUUUCGUUAUAUAAGCUCGAUAAUUACCUCGAAAUUUCGUAAGCUAUAUAAGCUCAGUAAUUACCUCGAAGUUUCAUAAGUUUGCUUAAGUACGUCACUUAACCACUUUUUUUUUAAAUUUAUAGUGCAUGAGAGAGGUCAAAAAUUCAAAAUCUUUCAUUUACACUCCUUUUUUUAUACUAUCCAACCCAUCCCUCCACCAUCAUUUUACCACUUAAAUCACUUAUUAGUUGACUAGUAGUAGGCCAAGCAAGCCACUGCUAUUUCUAAGUGUAUUAUGUCUUCUUAUGUAUCCAUUAGGAAACAUUUGCUGUACCACACAUGGUUAAUAGAUUGAGAGCAAACAGCAGGAGCCUUAGCGACAUUUUUGAAACUCCUUAAUUAGUCCUUGAACUAUUUCUUUACUUAAAAUGGUUAUACAAUUAAAGAAAAUAUGGUAAAUUACUUAGGAAGCCUCUAAACUAAUUCAAUUGUCAGUUUUGGCCAUUUAUUUAUUUGAAGUCUCAAAUUGACCUUUCAAGAAUCAAAACUAUCAAAUUUUGACCGUUGAAUCUAUUUCCAUUAUUAAAAGUUAAAACUGAUGGACAUAAGGGCAAAAUUUGAAAAUUCUACGGUAAAAAUGGAGUGAAGGAUCAAAAUUUCAGACCUUUUAUUGUUAAAGAAUCAAAUUGAGACUUGAAAUAGAGAUCGGGUCAAAAUUGAUGAUUGAAAUAGUCUAGGGACUCCUAAAGUAAUUUACCUAUAAAAAUAUGCAUAACUAACCAUGCAUCUAAUGGAACGGAAAUGUACAUUAUUUCGACACAAAAAUUUUAAAAAAAUAACCACACAUUUCUUUUUGGCAGACAAGAUGUAUGUUUUAGUUGGUGAAUGAUCAUUUAUUCUAAAGGAAAUCACUGAAACAAAGAAUUUUUAAAAUUUUAGUGUCCAGUUAGGUCAUUUGGUCAUGAAUUAAUCAAAGCCAUAAAAAUUCUCAAAAGUAGCACGCACACGAGGACCCAUCGAACAGUACAAAUCCUUAAACGACUUUAGAGCGGGAGUUAAGGGAUUUUAGGUUUACUUAAAUAAACUAGUGGCCUGCUGCUAAAGAGAUGAAAGCUCCACGGACCCACAAACAUAACAAAAACAUCAAUAACAGACAAGCCCUAAUCAAUAUCCGAACGCAAUCAACAUCAGUUGAGAAUUAUUUUUUCAGAUUAAAAACAGUUGAUUUAGUCACUAACAACUCCUUAUCAAGCUUCCUUCUUGCCCUAAUCUUUUUGUUAAUCAUUGAUGGGUCAAUGCAAAGUCUAUAUCCAGCUAUAAGUUGCAGAUUGGAGCAAAGAAUGAUGAUACUAAGCUGCCUUUUUUUUUUUGAGUAUUGAAACAAUGCUAAAGAUCGCAAAGAGAUGACCAUCAACUUUUAUUUUGUAAUGAUAAAGGUAUACAAAUUAAAUUCGGCUAUGUAAUUCGGGCACUGAAAGAUUUAAGAAAGAAUGUCUUUUAAUCUAUCCUGUUGACAGAAGAACUUCAAAAUUUAGCAACACAUCGGAACUUGAAAAACUCGAGAAGACGAACUUGAAGAACUUGAAAGGACUCAUUGCUCAACUGACUCCAAAGGAAAUUGAAGAUUAGCUGCAUCCCCGAGUGUAUAUUCCUUAGGGACUGGACUGCUUUUCUUUUAGGAAUAAGGUGUCUAGUAUGACUUUCAAUUUCUCCCCUUUGCUCUUUUCCUCGUAAUGAGUUUUCUCUGAGUGUGUUUUGUAUAGUAGAUAAUUGGAGAUAAUUUUUUGAAAAAAAAAAAUAUUGUAACAUUUGUUUUAUAUGAUGUAUUUGAGGUGAAACAAUGGUUGAAAAUAUGUAUACUUUGUCCAAAAUUUAAGGAGGUUUAGCGUCUCGGCAAUCAGAGAGGUAAAUGCUGAAUGAAGAUAGCCCCAACUUAAAUUUUAGUUACUUGGUAUUAAAUCGUGUGGAUUACUCCCAAGAAAGGGCGAAAUUCUAUCUUUGUUGGAUCACAAUUAAUAUUUAAGAACAUUUAAUUUUUUUAUUGUUGUUGUUUUUGGUAGAAUCAUUUUAGAAAACAUGCAUUUGUUGGUUGGUAGUCCACCUUGACGAUUUUGGAAGCCCUCAUUCGCUGGAAUAUUUCCGGCUAACAAUGGCCGUCUAAAUCUAAAGUUCCCAACUGUGAGGAUUGAAGGGAUAGAAAAGCUAAUUCUAUUGUUAAAGUCCAUAAAGCAAAAUCAAACAAUCAUAGCACCGCCCAAGUCAAAAGCAUAUCGUGGAUUCUUUGCACUCGCAUGAGGAAUUACUAGUCCAGCUGAUAGUGGAUUUGGGUGUUCUUUUCUUUCUCCUUCUGCCUUUGCCACUUUUGAGAUACUAAUACUAAAAGGGAACUCCUCUUCUCAAAGUCUCGAAGGCUCAAACUUUUGGCUUUUUCCGCUUUUCCACUUUUUCUAAUAAAAUUACCAAGUAGACAACCUAUUGGCUUUUUGUUGCCUCGUCACUCUCAUUUUAAAGUUUAAAAACCUCACGUCCUGAUCACACCAUAUAUUGGCUCAGUGGCCACCAGGGAAGGUGUCCCUUCUUGGGCUGUAGGUUGAGGGUUCAAACCUCACCUGCAGCGAAAAAAAUCUAAAGGUUGUGUCAUAGCACUUCCUUGAUCUAGUUGAGUCUGUAUACCCACUAGCCUCUACCACAACCUCCUUAGACUCCCCCUCCCCCUAGAUUAGGGUAGAAUAGGUUAUCGUUGCUGACAAAAAAAAAAAAAAAAGAUCACACCAUAUGCUAUUUAGCUAGUACUACCAACAUUUUUUGCUCUCAUUAUUAUUUUUACUCCAUACGUCAACAAGGCUCCAAUUAUUAUUAGUCUUAUUGGUUCUCCCUCCCUCAUUUGUGCUCUCUUUCUGCUUUACCUAUAUACAACUAACUUUUCUUUCCAUUCUUUUCUUGACAUUCACCUUCACUAACAAAACACUCUCUUUUCUGCUUUAAGAUGAUUAACUCUUGAUAAUCUCUUUUCCGGAGUAAUAAAUGAAGGUAAAUAGCUAGAGUUUUUUAGAGGAUAUGAACCAACAUACAAUAUGCUGAUCAGGUAGUAUUAGGGUGUGAUUCAAAAUGAACAAAAGAGAUUAAUUACCUUUUACCCCUUAUGUUUUAGCAUUAUCAUAUAAUUUUUCUAUAGUUUCGAAAUCUACAAUUUACCUUCUUUGGCUUAGGGUAAAAUUAGUGGCUUUGUUUGUGUCCCUUGUUUUUAUCCUAUUUUUAAUAAAUAAGUUCUUUUUUUACAACUUUGUCCACAAUAGCCUAAAAUAUUCCAAAAUACCUAAAAACACACAAUUUUUUCUUUCUUUUUUCUCCUCCCCCAUCUUAACCAACCAUUGUUGGUGCCCUCCUUUUUUUUUUUUCCUCUCUCUCUCCUCCCUCUUGCCUCCCUCCCUUCUCCUCCUUUUCCUAUCAUCUUUGUCUUUCCCCUCCUCCCUCUCUCCCUUCUCCUAUUCUCCCUCUUCUUCAACGCCCUCAUCUCCCUCCCCCUUCCCCUCUGAUCAUAAGGUAAGGAGAGGGAAGAAAAGGGGAGGAAGGAGGAAAGAGGAGAGGAGGAGAAGGGAAGGAGCGAGGGAGAGAAAAAAAAAGGAGUGAAGUGGUGACGGCCUGGCACUGGUAGUAGGGAGGGAAGUGGGAGGAAGAGUAGCAUGGCAUGGGAAGGAAGGAGAAGAAAGGAAGAAAAAGGAAAGGCAAAGAAAAAAAUAAAUUUUUUCUUCAAAUCCUCAAAUAUACAAAGUUCUUUUUACAAUUUCUGCAAUAAGUUACCAUAAAAUUUUAUAAAAAUAUCCAAAAAAAAAAAUUUAUCACCUAAACCGACCCAAUGAUGGUAUCUAAAAUUAUAAAGGUGCAAAGGGCAGUAGUAUAAUCACGACGGUUUCUUGGAGGGGCUUUCGGGUAUGUUUUGAGAACUCCAAAUGAUGGUAUCCAAAAUUAUAAUCAGGGAGUAAAGCUCUUGAAAAAGCUAAAGUAAAACGUACUUACCAUUACCAAAUAGGGGAUUGGUAUACAAAAUAAUACCAAAUUCACAAAGUCUCCCAGCUUUCUUUAUCACAUCUACUGUAAAGGUCUUGUAGUAGGAUGUGUUCAUUCAUAACAGGCCCUGACAAGUGUGAUACGCACAAGUCCGACCUCAUUUCUAACUCAGAUGCAGCAUGUGUGGGAAAACAAACAUGAAGAGUCCCAGACGUGGCUCACUGCCUUGAUUAGAAAUAUCACAAAACAAAAAAAGAGUGAUUUGAUGAAAACUUGGUGACUUGUCAUGAAUGGAUCUUCAACAAAUAAAUAUGCUAUGCUUAUCCUACAGGGUACUGAUGAGAUAGUUGUGGAUUCAACUGGGCAUAAACUAAUGUAUAUGCCCAAAACAAAAAUCCAAGAUGGAGUUAGAACCAAUUUUGACAACUAACCCAUUCUUUCCAUCAAUAAGGAUGUUUGUAAUUUUUUUUUUGGGGAGGGGGUAUGGUGAGGGAAAUGUUCUUCUCUUAUUCUGUGAAAAUGUGGAAGUUGAAGGAGACGACAACUGCAAUAGUGAAACUGCAUAAACGAUUCAAGAAAUAAUUUUGAGGCUAAGAUGAAGACAAGGGGUGAUGUCCAAAAAAAAAUCUUGUUGGCCUGCAACAGUGCCCAACAAUUUACCAGGCCUGCGCCCCUAGCUGUCCAUUUUUUAAAUUGUAUUAAUAUUUGAAUUUAGGUAAACGAGGGCUUGUGCGACUCGAUUUAUGCAUUACUCAUAAAAUUUAUGUGCCAGUUUUAUUUGAUUUUCUGAAUCGACAGGUAAGAAGAUAUUACUUAAUCCCUAAUUUGAAUAAUGCGACAGAAAUGAGAUUUCAGUACAUACAUGAUUUUAAUUUGUUAAUUAGAGAGGUCUAAAUUUCAAGUAAACAAGAACGUAGGACGAUUAAAUUACCUCUGUAUAGGUCAACGUAGGACGAUUGCAUAGUUCAACCUGUUGCUAAAAUUACCGCUGUAUAGGUCAACAUACAUGAUUUUUUUUUUUUGGAGUGGGAAUCAUUUUGCCUCAAUUAAACGACAUCACCUAACAACUUGGAUUGUGUCACUUGAUCUUUGAUUAAUAGUCUUCAGCCAAUUCAGACCCCAGACAAGUAUUUAUGGCCUCAAAUAGCGCACGGACAUGUGAACGAGGAAAGAUUCUUUCUUUAAGGUAGAAAGGGGAAGGAUAAAAUAUUUGUCAAAGCAAACCAAAGUGAACCCUUAAUCCAAAGAAAACCCCAAUUUUCUUUAGUAGUUGUUGUUAGGAAAUUGGCUUAAUUUCUUUUAGGUAAAUUUCUUAUUUUGUGUGAAAGUAACUAGUUUUCUAAUUGGUUUUAAUUACUUGAAAUAGUAGCCAAAGAGUAUUCUAUUUAGUUUAGAAUUAGAAGUUAUUUCCUACAAGUGUAGGAAUUAGAAUUGAUUUCCUAUUAUUAUUUAGGUUUUAACCAAAUAAUGUUCUCUAUAAAUAGGUGGGUUGGCAUACUAUACAGGGACAUACAUAGGCACACAAGAGGCAACAUGUAGCCUUAUACAUGGGUGGUGAGAGAGGGUUCUUGGAAGAUGAGAGAUGGUAUACAAGGGUUAGAUUUGGGUUCAAAUUGUAUUCUUGUAUAGGGUUUUCCUCUCAUAAUAAAGAACAGGUUUUUUUUCGUGGACGUAGGCUCAAUGGUGGAGUCGAACCACGUUAAAUAUUGUGUAUCGUCUAUCUUUCAUGCUUGUGGCUUGUUUCUCAUUCAAUUGUUAUGCACUUGAUAUCUCAAUAGUUGUUUGUUCCGCGUUUGGAUCCUAAUAAGUGGUAUCAGAGCUUGGUUGCGAGACUGGGUUGCUCUCAAGUACUUGGAUCCUAACAAAUUGAAUGGUUAGAUCAAGAGCUUGAUUAUUUGUGGUUGGAUCCUAGUUAACUAUUGAGAUCAAGUGGGUUGGUGGCUGUUACCCAUUGAACAAUUUAAUGAGUGGUAUUCUUGUUUCAAUGACUUGGCAAAAAACAUUGAUGGUGAAGGAUGAAAAGUUGAAAAGCAUGGAGAUACUUGACGGUAAAUUUAGACAGGUGAUUCAAGGGUCAAGGAAAAGAUCGAAUCCAAUAUUGAUUUUGGACGUGAAUCGGUGGAGACUUUCUCGCACCUCCAACGGUUGAUAUUUCAUCCCGAUGGAUUUUAGAUUUCGAUUAUUUUUUUUGGGUGGUGUGGCACUUGUCCCAAAGAAACAAAGAAAUUUAAAUUCCAUGCGCCAGAAGAUUCUGAUAGUUACGAGUUUUUCAUUUUAGGUCGAGUUUUAGAAACCACACGUGACGAGACAGUCCUGAGGAUGGGAAGAAAUAUGGUGACUUUACCACUUAGUUGCCUCAAUGGUUAGGGUUAGAGCUCAUAGAAGGGAUCUCGGAUUGCAAGUGGUGGUGAGAAAAAAUCUUGCAAAGGGAGAUGGUGAAUUGAGGCACCUUCUCACGAGUCAACUGGACGUUGGAUUCGAAAUAACUAAACAUAUUCAUUUGCCAAUUGAAUCAAUUUAGUGCCAGGACUGUAUUGAUUCGGGUGUGUAGUUUGGUACCAUAUUAUUUGGUAGUUGAAGGCAAAUGGUUGCUAAAAGAAAUUUUCGCCAAGGGGGAGAUUUGUUAGGAAAUUGGCUUAAUUUCUUUUAGAUAAAUUUCUUAUUUUGUGUGAAAGUAACUAGUUUCCUAAUUGGUUUUAGUUACUUGAAGUAGUAACCAAAGAGUAUUCUAUUUAGUUUAGAAUUAGAAGUUAUUUCCUACAAGUGUAGGAAUUAAAAUUGGUUUCCCAUUAUUAUUUGGAUUUUAGCCAAAUAAUGUUCUCUAUAAAUAGGUGGGUUGACAUACUACACAAGGACAUACAUAGGUACACAAGAAGCGACAUGUAGCCUUAUAAAUGGGUGGUGAGAGAGGAUUUUUGGGAAAUGGGAGACGGUAUACAAGGGUUAGAUUUGGGUUCAAAUUGUAUUCUUGUAUAGGGUUUUUCUCUUAUAAUAAAGAACAGGUUUCUCUCCAUAGACGUGAGCUCAAUGGUGGAGGCGAACCACGUUAAAUAUUGUGUGUUGUCUAUCUUUCAUACUUGUGGCUUGUUCCUCAUUAAAUUAUUAUGCACUUGAUAUCUCAAUAGUUAUUUGUUCCACGUUUGGAUCCUAACAGUUGUUGAUAAUGGCAAUCUUGAAAGCUGUUACUUGUCUGAUUGCCAAAAAAAAAAAAAAAAAAACUUGUGGCGGCAAAGCUGAGAUUAAUUAUCAGAGAUAACCAUUCAUUCUGGACGCUUGAUUUUGAUCAUGCGGUAGGAUAUCAGUUUUAGUGUUUGAGUUUACGGAAAAUGUCAGUAUUGCUCAUCCAUACAACCUAGUUUAAUAAAUAUGAACGAAUUAAUUACCACCCCAGUCCUAGAUUAAAGCCUCUAAAUAUAAUCUUUUAUUGUUCAGUUUCAUAAAUUAAAAAAAAAACAUUGCAAUAUUUGCACUAAUAACAAAAAAGUACAUCAAACAUGACAAAAAAAUCUAAAGAUUUGAAAAUCAAUCUAUACAACAGAUGUGAAAAAUAAUAAAUAUGAUAAUAAUAUUGAAACUUCAAGGGGAGUAUCUUCAUUUAAAUGAAUAACUGCAAUCCAAUGGAGCUGUACAUGUUUUCUAAUCGUGAAAUCUUAUAAGAUCUCCUUUAAUCUGAAAGAGAAAUUUAAUCAGAAUAAACAUGAAAUUCCAGCUCCGAGAAAUUAGAUCUACAAAAUCUCUCAAAUCUUAUUAAAAAAACUACAAAUAAAAACCACUGUAUUUAAAAUAAUAAUCAGAUUUGUUUUAUUAUUUGAACUAUCUUGUGAUGGUAUCGAACAGUAACUAUGCACUAGAGUGGCCGAGAAUGGAAUUUGAUACAGUUUACUUGUGCAGAACUUAUGAUUAUCAGCAGGAAAAAACUAUUAAGAACGGUUAAGCAAUCAAACGAAAUAAUAUUGGUAUUGACUGAAUAAGAGGAUACAGAAUUGGCGGUAAAGGAAAGGAAAUGACAAGAAUGAAGGAAGAAACAGAAAGAAGAAUGGUCAGGGAACAAUCCCAAAUUUAGCUAAUAAAUUCCUACCCUCUCCUCUCUGUUCCUGGCCAAUUUAUAGCUACUAGUAACUAAUUCUUCGGUGUCCUUGGUUCAGCUGGCCCUCGUGACCUUGCUAACAAAAUUGGUUGCAGAUCCACUUGCCCACUUGAGCUCACGUUUCUUGAGCAUUUUCCCAGAAAAGGCGUGAUUACGAACUCACGCCUUCUUUGCUUCCUUUGUUAAUUUCCACGCUUUCCUGCUGAGACCACGCCUUCUUCUCUUGACAAAGGCGUGCUUCUUGCUUCCACGUUUUCAGCUUUAUUUAUCUGUUUCAUAACAAUUGCUCCCCCUUCAAUCAAUCUUGUCCUCAAGAUUGGAAAUCAGGGAAUUCGUUCUCAAUCUUUUCUGCAUCUUCCCAUGUAGCUUCAGCUGGUGUGGUUCCCCACCAUUGAAUGAGCCACUGUACAGCUGCUGCAUUCCCUCUCUUGGUGAUUCUGUGAUCCAGGAUUAGAGCUGUUAAGUCAAUCAAGUAGCUCGAAAGCUCGUUAGAGCUCGGCUCGUUAAGGCUCGAGCUCGGCUCGUUAAUUUUGGUUAACGAGUCGAGCUCGAGCUCGAAACAUGCUCGUUUAGUAAACGAGCCGUUUGAUACUCGAGUAGCUCGUUAGAGCUCGUUAAUGAAGGGCAUAUUUGUCAUUUUAGAAAUCAAAAUUAUAAAAAUUAAAAAUUAUAGAUUUUUAUUAAGGUUAAUUUGCACGAGCUCGAGCUCGAGCUCGUGAAGCUCGACUCGUUUGUGAUAAACGAGUCGAGCUCGAGCUCGAGCUCGAGCCACAUGUACAUUUAACGAGCCGAGUUCGAACACAUUUUAAAGCUCGUUUUCCUAACGAGCUCGAGUCAAGCUCGGCUCGAAUUGAACUCGAGUCGAGCUCGGCAACCAAAUACUCGGCUCGACUCGGCUCGAUUAACAGCUCUAUCCAGGAUAGCUGUUGGCUCUACCCUCAGAUGUCCUUUCCCAUCCAUGUUAGGUAGUUGAAGCAUAGGAGUUGCUCUCUCCCCUACCUUCUUUUUCAGCAAUGAUACAUGGAACAUAGGGUGCACCUUGGUUCCCUCUGGUAGCUGCAGCUUAUAAGCAACUUUUCCUACCAUCUGAGUCACCUGGUAUGGACCAAAGUACCUGGCUGACAGCUUGGUGUGGCUCCUCAACUCUACUGACAUCUGCCUAUAUGGCUGUAACCUCAAGUAAACCCAAUCUCUAACCUCAAAAGUCCUCUCACUCCUGCUUUGGUCAGCAUAAAACUUCAUCCUAUUCUGAGCUUCUUGUAAGUUCUUCUUGAGCAUCCCAUCCAUUAUCUGUCUGUCCUUUAGAUGUUCUUCCACUGUGGCUACUCUGGAUUGGUCAUAAGGCCCCAAGGCUAGUUGUGGGGGAGCCAUUCCAUAUUGGGCCUCGAAUGGACUCAUCUUAAUGGUUGUGUGAUAGGUGGUGUUGUACCACCAUUCAGUAAGGGAGAGCCAAGCAUUCCACCGCUUUGGUUCCAUGUGUGUCAUGCAUCUGAGAUAUAUUUCCAGCACCUGGUUUACCCUCUCAGAUUGGCCAUCAGUUUGAGGAUGAUAAGCAGUGCUCAACUGCAACUCAGUCCCCAACAUGGUAAAGAGUUCUGUCCAGAAAUGGCUAGUAAAUACCUUAUCUCUGUCGAAAAACAUGCUCAGAGGUACUCCAUGGAUUUUGCAGAUAUGGUCCAAGAAAAGCCUAGCCACUGUGGGGGCAUCAAAAGGGUGGGAGACUGAUGAAAUGUGCUGUCUUGGUGAAUCUGUCCACCACCACCAUAAUCGUGUCCUUCUUUUCAGAUACUGGCAGUCCUUCAAUGAAGUCCAUUGUUACAUGGCUCCAUGAGUACUGAGGUAUAGGAAGGGGUUGUAGUAGUCGUGGAUAGGCAUUGUGUUCAUCCUUGCACUUCCUACAUACAUCACACUGCAGUACAGCAUCCUUGAUAUCCUUGUGCAUCCCUGUCCAAUGGAACAACUGUUUGGCCCUUUGGUAGCUUGCCUGUAUUCCAGAGUGCCCUCCUAGCUGUGAGUCAUGUAUGGCAGAAAUGAUUUUCUGCCUGACUUCUCCUCCUGCACCCACUACUAUCUUCCCUUUAUUCCUGAGUAUUCCAUCCUGGUGGGUGAAAUCUGGUUGGCUAUCAGGAGUCAGCAGUAGCCGCCUGAUGAUGUCCUGUGUUUCCCCAUCCCCUUCAUAGCUUCCAACUACCUCCUUAAUCCACUUUGGAAUGACACAAAUCAGAGCAUCGCAAUCUCCUUCCUCUGUGUUGGCUCUCCUAGACAGUGCAUCUGCCACCACAUUUUCUCUUCCUUUUUUGUAUUGAAUCUCAUAACUCAGUCCCAGAAGCUUGGUCAACCAUUUCUGUUGGAGUGUUGUAGUGAUCCUUUGCUCUAGUAGGUACUUGAGGCUCUGAUGAUCAGCUUUUAUUAUGAAGUGAUGUCCCUCCAAAUAAUGCCUCCAUUUAGUUACUGCCAUUACCAAGGCCAGCAACUCUUUUUCAUAGAUGGAGAGUCCUAAGUUUCUUUGACCCAAGCUCUAGCUCAGAUAUGCCAAAGGUCUUCUGUCCUGCAUCAGCACAGCUCCCACACCUCCAUAGCAUGCAUCAGUUUCAACUAUAAAUGGUUUGGUGAAGUUAGGCAGUGCCAACACAAGGGUGUUGGUCAUUGCUAACUUCAGCCUCUGGAAAGCCUCCUCAGCUUCUUCAUUCCAUAGAAAUCCAUCUUUUUUAAGCAGCACAGUGAGUGGCUUAGCUAUGGAGCCAUAGCCCUUCACAAACUUCCUAUAGUAACCUGUCAAACCUAGAAACCCUUUUAGUUGCUUAACUGUAGUUGGCCUUGGCCAUCCCAUCAUCCCUUCUACCUUCUUGGGGUCAGCCAUUACCCCCUGGUCAGAGAUAAUGUGGCCCAAAUACUCCACUUCUGUCUGAGCAAAGGAGCAUUUGCUCCUUUUAGCAUAAAGUUGAUGUUCCUUCAGGAUGUUCAAUGCUGUGGCAACAUGCUUCAUGUGACUAUUUCAGUUAGGGUUGUAAAUUAGGAUGUCAUCGAAGAAUACCAGGACAUACUUCCUGAGUUGUUCCCUGAAGAUGUGAUUCAUGAGGCUCUGGAAGGUGGCUGGGGCAUUGGUCAGCCCAAAUGGCAUGACCUUGAACUCAUACAGCCCCUGGUGAGUUCUGAAUGCAGUUUUGUGUUGAUCCUCCACCUUAACUCGUAUCUGAUGGUAUCCAGAUCUCAAGUCUAUUUUGGUGAAGAAUUUGGAGCCAUGCAAUUCAUCAAUCAGUUCAUCUAUCAGUGGCAUUGGAAAUUUGUCUUUGAUUGUCCGCUCAUUGAGUUGCCUGUAGUCAACACAAAAUCUCCAGCUACCAUCCUUCUUCUUCACUAGUAAGACUGGGGAUGCAAAAGAGCUGUUGCUAGUUUGAAUAAUCCCCAUCUGUAGCAUUUCUUUGACCGGCUUCUCUAUCUCAGCCUUCUGCACAUAAGGACAUCUGUAUGGCCUGUUCUGGAAAAGUGUUGCUCAUUCUUUUAGUGGGAUGACAUGAUCAUGGCUCCUGACUGGAGGCAUGCCUUGUGGCUCAUCAAAUAUUGACUCAAACUGCCCCAGUAGUUCUCUCAUUUCUGUUGGAAUUUGCCCCUGGUCCCCUCCACUUUCUUCUACUAGGUAGAUUUGGGCAGUGAUUCCAUAGUUCUGUUUCCUUCUCCACUUGGCAAGUCUGCUUCCCUUCAUGGCCUUCAACUUCAGCUUCUCUGCCUCCCCCUUCAGCAUUACUGGCACUUUUCCUUUCAAAAACUUCAUAGUUAGCUGCUGGAAGUCAAAUUCGAUGGGGCUGUGCUUGGCCAACCAGUCCACUCCAAGUAUCAGGUCACAACUGCCCAGUUUGAGUGUGUUGAAUUGGUGAUGGAAGUUGUGUCCAUGCAUCUCCCAACCUACCUCCUGUAGGAGUUGCCUGGACCCCAGCUUUUCUUCAUUAGCCACAUUUACAGUUAAGGUUGUACUUGUAGUCUGCAUCUUCAGAUCUUGUGCCAAACUUUCAUCUAUGAAGCAGUGAGUAUUGUCACUACCAAUAAGUGUGAGAACCCGAAAAUUUUCUUAUUUUUAUAGAAUAUUAUUGGAAUAUUUAAAUGAUUAUUCACUCAUUUUCUUCGAAUUAUUUAUUUCGACCAUUUUAAAUCCAUUUAUAUGGAAUGACGCCUCUUUAUAAUUUUAAAGCGUUUUGUUGAAAAAUUCGCUUUUCGAAAAUUUGAUUAGUCCGGAACGACGGGUGCAUGUUUUUCUAGGCUAUACUUGAAUAGGGAGUGUAUUAAUAUUGAAGAAUUAAGAACGAUCAAUAAUAGAUUAAGAAAGGUUAAUGGAGGAAUUAAUACUCAUUUCACGUGAGGACUCGUAAAAUUAUUAUUGUUAAAACCCCUAAUUUUGGCUCAAUUAAUUAUCUAUUUGGAUUUUUGCCCCGAAUAUUAUUUUCUAUCCUUAUUAGACCUAAGUACAUGGUUUUAUAGCUUCGUUAUAUUUUUAAAGUAUCUCGUUUCAAAAAUUAUUUUCUCAGAAACUUGUUUAGUGAAAAAGUGAAAACGUGUCUAAACACUUUAGCCAAUUGGGAGUACACUAAGCUCGAAAAUUUGGGGAUAUGUACAAUGGUCCUAAAAUAGGUAAAUUUAGGUUUAAGUACUCAAGUGAUAGUUAGUGGUACGAUCGUUAUAAGAAUUUCUCGAAGGUUUCAAUUUUUAUUGUGCCUAAAUUAGAAAUACGUGUUUGCACGUGCGCGCUUAAUUGAGGGACUUUGGACCAUUAUUUUGGGACAAUUAAGAAUGAAUAAUAUUAUAUGAAUGUAAGUGCCCUAGAGGUUUAGUGCACUAGUGCAACAAACGUAAGUGAAAUCGAACACAAAACGCGCGCGUAGGGUACUAGUUAUAAUUGAUUUGACGUAUUAAGAGAUUUGACGUCAAGCGUCUUUCGUACGCAAAGGCUUCAAAACCGCAUUUCAUUUCAUUUCUUCUGCUGCAAUGGACGGCUAGCAGCUGCAAGGGACAACCGAAGCUUCACCAUUUCUUUCUUCCAAAACUCAUCCAAAUCCUUACCAAAACUUCCCUAGAUUCUCACCAAACUUCACGUUCAUUUAGCUUUUCACUUGGACAACAACUUAGCUGCAAAAGGAAGGAGCUAUCCACGGUUUCUUCAAGCUUCAAAGGGCCGAAAAAUCUGUCCUAACCAGCCAUCAAAGUAGGUAGUAAUCAAUCACCUUAAACUUGUCUUUUGGAGUUUGAUUUAUGCAUUUGAGCUAGAAUCGUCACUUUAGUAGCUUGUAUUGUUGGAAAAUUGUUAAACGUGGGCUCUAUGAACUCCCACUUUGGGUUGAUGGCUGUGAUGAUGUUUGAUGAUGGUUUUGUUGCUGAAUUAGAGCUUAAGGAAGUAGAUUAAAGGUGCUUUGUUACCAGAAACGUUAUUGAACUCUUGAAACAAAAAGUUCCCAUUUUACCCCUGCUCUGUUCGGUCACUUUAAUGCAGAAAUUUGAGGAUUUAAUGGCUUGAUUAUGUUUUUUACAUGUUGUAGCAGUUGUGUACAAAUUUUCGUUGAAAAAUACUGAGUUUUGGUGGGUCAAACGAAUUUAUUUCAAAGCUAGUAAUCUGGGAAAACGGUUGCCGUCGUAACCAGACCAGUGUUCGUGUUUCGUCCAUAACUCCGUACUCCGACGUCGAAAUCAAGUGCCGUUAGCGGCAUUUGAAUCUAGACGUUCCCAUGUUUCCAACGGUGUAUAAUUCACCUUCUGGUUUUAUGUGUGUGAGCCACACCAUUCAUCUGAAGUCAGCUGUCCUGUUUCUCCGUUCUGCCGAAAUGAUUUGUUGAUGCUGCAACUUUAGGCUUAAAUUCGAGCCAGUUGCAUGCUGAAACUUCUAACGAUUUCUUCUGUGAAAUUUUAUCCCUGUGAAUGUAUUUUCUAACACUAUCAACCAUUCCCAAUUCCGAGUUAAAUUGAGGGAGUUAUGAUCAAAAUACGGCGACUGCCUCGUUUUUGAAACCUUAGAUUUGGACAGAUUGCCUUAAGGAUUUUUCCAAAUUUGGUUGAUUGAAUGACCACCCUUCCGAGGGUAUUUUUCCAUGAAAUUUUAUAGGGAGAUACCCUUCAUAUGGGAGUAUUAUACUGCAAAAUUUGGUGUCAAUCCAAGUCCGUUUCGGCACUUAAUAAAAGGUCCAAAGUCGGAACCAAAUCUGGAAAUUUUGUAACAGUCUUGAAUUUUCCCAACUUUGAACUACCGUAUCUCGGUACUCGAAACUCUGAUUCUUGAGCCGCUUGUUCUGUUCAAAACUUUACUUGCACUUCUAAUCGAGUUAUAAGUUUCAAGGGCCGGUUUGCAACGAGUGAUUUUUGCCGAAUUUCCAAAGUUAGCGAAAAACCAACCCCGGCUCAAUCCUGGUAAUCUAGAACAGCAACUUUAGGCUCAUUUUUGAAUACCUUCCACUUAGAUUCAUGGAAUGGUGUCUUCUAAGGACUUUUAGUACUUUGGAAGACGAUUCCAACGGUACCAAAUUCAUCAAGUUUCGAUUAGUAGAAAGCAAGUUAUGAUUUUUCAAAGAUUUGACCAAAAAUUGAAAAUUCUGGAAUUUCAAAGGAAAUCCGCGAAGGAACAAUUUUACCAGAAUCCGGCCUUGAAUCCGGCCAGUUUCUGGCCGGAUUGGUGGCGAAGUUUGAAAAAAAAAGGAGGUUAGCCACUGCCUCCAAUCCAGCCAGAAAUCCGGCCGGAUAUCCGGCCAGGUUCCGGCCGGAUUGUGGCGUGGCCAGCCCUCUUUCGAUUUCGAUCGUUCGAUUUGCAAUCGUUUUGCUCGUACUCGUUUCCAACCAAUGAUUUUAAGGAUAAUAAUCCGAUUUUUACUCGAGUCCUGCACCCUUUUGAGAAUCCAACUUCAAAGACAAGUCAAACGAAGUUUUCAAAUAUUUUCGAACCUUACCCGUGUCCAAUCUUUCUCACCACUUGGGGACCUAUAGUAAUUAUCUACUAUUCGAUGUUCAGGCACGCACGAGGACCUCCAAGAGGACCCUACCGUGGAAGUUUGAACUCUCCCUCCAACCUACUUUCUUGCAUAACUGGUGAGUGUCAAGUGUAUGCCUACUUGAACUCUAAAGUCUUGAUUCAUGCUUGACUUACCUGAUUACAUGCUUAGUCUAUUUGAUUUUGAAAAAAAUGGAGUCGAGUGUGUACUUAAUCGCACUCGUUCUCAUUUGGCACGAAUGACUCAUGUCUAACAUGAUUUGCCUGGUUUACAUGACUUGAAAUGCCUGCUUAAACAUGUCAAAUGCUUGAAUACAUGAAAUGGUAUGCUAUGAUUGCAUACGUCGUUGGAGUGAAUCUCCUCGACACUUACAUGAUACAUGGGGGACGCCCAAACUCAUAGGCCGACCUUGGAACUCGAGCCGGCAUGGGCUUGGUCGGGAACCUUGGUGAGCCAUGAGAAUUACAUGAUAAGCUUGAUCUAUUUGAGAGAUCUUGCUUGGCAUACUCGUGGAGUAUAGCCUUCUAAAUGUCGUGCGGGCCCGAAGCGGUGUAUGGUGGACGGAUGAGAAGUAAGUGGUGAACUACGGAUAUGAAAUAUCAACCCGGUUGACGGAGAGUCAACGCGGGGAGAUAUACGAAUGACAUCGGCAAAAAUGUGAAACUUAGCUCCUGAGAGCUACCAUAUCCUUGAAUUGUUUUGGUUACAUUUUGUUGGCAUUAUUAAUUACUUGCAAUUUAUUACUUGAAUUGUUACUUGGCUUGUUACCUGAGCUAUGUGCCUGCAUGUGUGUUCUUGGCCUCACGAGCGUUUUGCUCACCCUGUAGAUUUGUUUUCCUUAACAGGAUUGAACUUGGCGAGGUAUCGAAGGAACCUUCCUGCUACGCUUUUGUUUAGGGUUUCUAUUACUUUUGACUUUGUCUUGGCUUUGGGUUGUAUUUUGGAAUCCGAAUGUAACUUUUGGAGCAUGAUGUAUAUUUGGGAUAUAUGAUGGUUGUUGAACACCUGAUGUGCGGGUUGGAUAUUGAAUGACUAUUAUUAAGUUUGAACGCUUCUGCAUUUAUUGUAUCUAAGUUAUUGGCUUGUAUUGUGUGGUCCGGCUAUAAGUUGAAUGGAAUUGCUUGAGUCCUGGCGAGAGAUAGGCAUGCGUUCCGCGGAUACCCUUUGGUUCGCCUUAGGGAGAAGUGGGGGCGUCACAGUUGGUAUCAGAGCAUAGGCUUUAGAUCUUGUAGUGUAUCCUAGGCUUAAAGUUUAGGAUGCCUGACUGUGGGAUUAAUUUGAAUAUUAUGUGAACUAGAGGGUCUAUUGUAUCCUACGGGUUAAAGAAAUUGGUUACUUGAGAGUUUCUUACUUGGGACUUGUAGAAAUAAAAAUUGAGGAAUUAGCUGAUGUUAUAUUGAAGGAAAAUAUGGAAUGAGAGAUUAGUAGUGAAAGAUUGGACGAAUUUGAAUUAUUAUUAUACUUGUAAGUGUGGAAAGAAGUGAGACAAUUAUUAGUGCUGGCUAAAGCGGAUAAGAGACCGAGAUUUGAUGGUCAAACUCCAUGUAUCGUGAUUGUGAACCCAGAUGAAAGAGUUUCAAAGGAAAAAAAAUGCAUUUUCCUGCUCAUUUACCUCUUAGAGAAUUUAUGCUUUGAAAUUCUAAAGGAAAAAUGAGGAUGUGCUAGUUUUAUUUUCAAACGAUGAUUGGAAAUAAUAUAUAUAUGCUUUAAGUAUGUGUAAUUCUUCGAUUUUGGUAAAUAUGUGAAUUUUACUUGAAUUUCAAUUUAAAAAUUUAUGAAUAACUGAUGAGUUUGUUGAAAUUUUGUAUGUGAAGGGCUGAUACAAGGUUAACAUUUUCUAAACUAGAUUUUCCCCCUUGAUUGUAUACUGGUGUAUUCUCACACUUGAAUUCAUCUAUGCUUUACAAAAAAAAAAAAUAAUAAUAAUAAUAAUAAAAAUAUCUUGAAUUUUCGGAAGAACGGCGAACUUAUGUUUUUAUAAUGAAAAUCUUGAACUUGAUAAGAUUUUUGUUACUUUAAAUACUCUUCUUAUCUUUUAAAAUUCUUGGUCUUCAAGAAGGGUGAGCCUAUCUUUAGGUGUACGGAUUGAGGGAACUUUGAGAUAUAGAGUAACCGCAUUCAAGAACACGCAGUUAGUGUGAAUUGACUUGGUUUCCAUUUGACACGUAAGUUAGCAAGUUGUACUUAUUUCUUGGGUUUGAACUUGGAGUUUGAGGUUUUACCAAUAAAACCCUAAGACUAGUUAUUCUUGGAGAUGAUGGUGCUCUGGUUGGUGGCUUGCUUAUUAAAGAUUUUGAACUUCGAAUGGAUAACCUUUGGUUUCCGCUUGUGUUAUGGUUUGAUUGGAUCUAAUUUCGUAAAGGCAUGUGAUCUGAUUGGAAUUAGUCAUAUUCGGACUCAUUGGUUUAAUUAAGGACUUAGGAAGGGUGGUGCACGCUGUGAGACCUUUUGUAUCCCACUUGCAUAUACUUCUACAUUUUGUGACCCUUAGUUGCCUAUAUACAGUAUUUGACAUAUUGGACUUGUUUUGUGACUUCUUAACUCGUACUAUAACCUUCGAUACAUGUAAAGAAUCAUGUCUUGAUUCUAAAUAUUUUUGCAACUUGUAUAUGCAUUAAGUUCUUUUAUGAUUAAUUAUUCCUUUUCUUGCGCUUAUAGACUCCUAUUAAGUAUGGUAGCAGGAAUAGGAAAAAGGGGUCGUGGCCGAGGACUUAGACAACCCUGUACUCGUGAGAAAAAUUGAUGGAUAGUCUUAUAUAAUUUAAUGAGAUUCUAGUACUGAAUAUGAAUCGAGAAAAAAACCAGAAGAUUAGAUCUACCAGUGUAUAAUGGAUUAACCUAGUUGGGAACUUAGUGAGAUUUUCCUGUGUGAAAUUUUAAUAACUGCUUUAUACGUAUAUUAUGAUUGGUCCUGUGGCCAUAUUUCAACUUUUGUGAAAGUUUGAACUCCAAAAGUAUUUCGUGGGUUUGGUGAGAUGACCUGAACUCAUUACCAAUUUGUUCUACUUGAACAAAAGCGCUUUCAAUUUUACUUGACUAAUACUAUACCCAGAUUCACUUGUUUUACUUUUCACAAAAUUUAUAUAUAUAUAUAUAUAUGUAUGUAUACACAUUUUGAACUCGUUUGAGACUCGAAAUCAGAUAGAGUUCAAGUUCGAAUCUUUCUUAGGAACAUGAAUGCCUAUUUGUUAUGAAUCAGAUAUUAGAAAUGAUCGGGUUUUAUGUACCAGUAGAGUUAACUCUUGGUUGGAUAAAAGGGUGGUAAAGGUAUUGGAUCACAGGUUAUGCGAAUAUGAACCUACAUGUUUACCUAUCUUUCUUAAAGGUAUUUUCUAAAAUAUACGCCUUACUCGAACAUAGAUUUAACUCGAAACUUUGAGGAAAAGUGUUGGAACACCCUCCAUGUAUAUGUUAUGAUUAUUAUGUAUAUGUUUUAAAAAUCAUGCAUUAAGUUGCAUGAUUAAUAUUCUUAAAUCUAUUUGAGAGAUUUUAAAUAUGUAUUGAUGAUUGUGGUUAAACAUUAUUUGAAAUCUCUUACUAAGAAAAUUUAGUUUUGGGUCGUGAAGAAAAAUUUGUAUCUUUAACUCUAAUUUUGAAAAUUUUGAAUCGCAUUUUGCCACAGAUACAUUCAAAAUACAUCAAAAGUCUUGACCUUAUCUUGUAAGUCAUGAUUGGUUUGAUUUAGACAAAAUUUUGAGGAAAGGGAUUUUGGUCCUGCUAGUGCGUAACAGUUUUUUUGUUAGGAUUUGGAACUUGUUUCAUAUGGCGUGUAAUUUAUGGUUUCACUACACACGGGAGUAAGACCUUAGAAUGGAAGUACAUAUCAUUAUAUCAAGAGGUAUUACUUUAGUCGUGUGUGUGGAUUUUCUUAAGUAUCAUUCGAGGAGAGGGAAGAGUAAAUAUACCUGGAUGACUUAGAUGCGUGAGAAUUUACAGGUUGUGGAUAGUUGAGUUUCAAAUUCUGAUUUGCUACUUAUUUAGAUGCUUGAGCAGUUGAUAGGCUAACAGUCAGGAUUAAGAAAAUGGAUGAAUGAAAAGUUUGGAAGAGAUACGUAUAGAAAUAGAAGUUCUUCACAAGGAGUUGGAAUUUCAAACUAAAUUGGCUGAAUUCUGAGAAGAAAAAAAAAGGGGUCGAGAACUUAGGGUUGAAGAUGGGAUCCAAUGUUGAUCGCCAACUUGAGAUAUUAAAAGUUGUGAGAUUUGGGUGAGUGAAAGGAAAUAUUUGAUGGCUUGAAUGAGCCUAACGAUUAAGGACCGGAUGUUAUAUUUGGAAUGGACGCUUGAGGCUAUAUAUACAUAGAUUAUUGAGAUUUGAGCGAUGAGACUAUUAAGAACAAAUACUCCAUAGCCUCACAUAAACGAGAAUUAUAAUCAAGGGUCAAGAGCAGCGAAUAAAGGAUUUAAAGUAGAGUUACUACUAACCGGGAAUCCUAGAAACUAAUGUGCUUAACCACUUCCAAUUCAAGAUGGGGAUGCUUGAAUUUUCAGUUAUGCCAAUUGGGUUAACUAAUGUAUUAGCAGCAAUUAUUACAUUAAUGCAUCAAGGUUUUAAAUCGUAAUAGGAUUAAUCUGUGAUGGCAUUUAUUGAUGAUGUAUUAAUAUACCCUAAAGUUUGAGAAGAUCAUGAAAAAAUACUUGAUGGUAGUUUUACAAACCCCGAGAGAACGCUAACUUUUGUUAAGUCCAAUAAAUGUGAGUUCGAUUGGAAGAAAUAGCAUUUCUAAGUUAUAUAAUAUCUAAGGAAGAAAUUGUUGUUAACUCAGCUUAAGUGGAAGCUGUUCAAGAGGAAAUGACUAGAAAAUCCUACCGAAAUUUGGAGUUCUUAGAGGUAGUCGAAUAUUACCUUGGUUUGAUCAGGGACUUCUAAGGAUACGAGACUUGGCAAGUUAUUUGAGAUUUUAAAUGUGAGGAAGAAUUUGAAGGUGAAAAUCGUUUAACCAAUGCACUUGUGUUGGCUUUACCGAGCGGAUAAGGUGAUUUUGUGAUUUAUACAGAUGGUUCAAAGGAUGGUUUAGAAUGUAUAUUAAUAAAAUAUGAUGAGGUGAUUGUAUAUGCCUUCUGAAAGUUAAAAUCUUCCGGAAGAAAGUAAUCAACUCAUGAUUUGGAGUGAGUUGGAAAACGUAAGUCAAUGAUUGAUCUGAUAGGCUUAACCAUGAAGGGAAUGAUAUUGUUCUAAGUAUGAAUUUCGAGGACGAAAUUCCUUUCAAGGAGGGGAGGAUGUGAGAACCCGAAAAUUUUCUUAUUUUUAUAGAAUAUUAUUGGAAUAUUUAAAUGAUUAUUCACUCAUUUUCUUCGAAUUAUUUAUUUCGACCAUUUUAAAUCCAUUUAUAUGGAAUGACGCCUCUUUAUAAUUUUAAAGCGUUUUGUUGAAAAAUUCGCUUUUCGAAAAUUUGAUUAGUCCGGAACGACGGGUGCAUGUUUUUCUAGGCUAUACUUGAAUAGGGAGUGUAUUAAUAUUGAAGAAUUAAGAACGAUCAAUAAUAGAUUAAGAAAGGUUAAUGGAGGAAUUAAUACUCAAUUCACGUGAGGACUCGUAAAAUUAUUAUUGUUAAAACCCCUAAUUUUGGCUCAAUUAAUUAUCUAUUUGGAUUUUUGCCCCGAAUAUUAUUUUCUAUCCUUAUUAGACCUAAGUACAUGGUUUUAUAGCUUCGUUAUAUUUUUAAAGUAUCUCGUUUCAAAAAUUAUUUUCUCAGAAACUUGUUUAGUGAAAAAGUGAAAACGUGUCUAAACACUUUAGCCAAUUGGGAGUACACUAAGCUCGAAAAUUUGGGGAUAUGUACAAUGGUCCUAAAAUAGGUAAAUUUAGGUUUAAGUACUCAAGUGAUAGUUAGUGGUACGAUCGUUAUAAGAAUUUCUCGAAGGUUUCAAUUUUUAUUGUGCCUAAAUUAGAAAUACGUGUUUGCACGUGCGCGCUUAAUUGAGGGACUUUGGACCAUUAUUUUGGGACAAUUAAGAAUGAAUAAUAUUAUAUGAAUGUAAGUGCCCUAGAGGUUUAGUGCACUAGUGCAACAAACGUAAGUGAAAUCGAACACAAAACGCGCGCGUAGGGUACUAGUUAUAAUUGAUUUGACGUAUUAAGAGAUUUGACGUCAAGCGUCUUUCGUACGCAAAGGCUUCAAAACCGCAUUUCAUUUCAUUUCUUCUGCUGCAAUGGACGGCUAGCAGCUGCAAGGGACAACCGAAGCUUCACCAUUUCUUUCUUCCAAAACUCAUCCAAAUCCUUACCAAAACUUCCCUAGAUUCUCACCAAACUUCACGUUCAUUUAGCUUUUCACUUGGACAACAACUUAGCUGCAAAAGGAAGGAGCUAUCCACGGUUUCUUCAAGCUUCAAAGGGCCGAAAAAUCUGUCCUAACCAGCCAUCAAAGUAGGUAGUAAUCAAUCACCUUAAACUUGUCUUUUGGAGUUUGAUUUAUGCAUUUGAGCUAGAAUCGUCACUUUAGUAGCUUGUAUUGUUGGAAAAUUGUUAAACGUGGGCUCUAUGAACUCCCACUUUGGGUUGAUGGCUGUGAUGAUGUUUGAUGAUGGUUUUGUUGCUGAAUUAGAGCUUAAGGAAGUAGAUUAAAGGUGCUUUGUUACCAGAAACGUUAUUGAACUCUUGAAACAAAAAGUUCCCAUUUUACCCCUGCUCUGUUCGGUCACUUUAAUGCAGAAAUUUGAGGAUUUAAUGGCUUGAUUAUGUUUUUUACAUGUUGUAGCAGUUGUGUACAAAUUUUCGUUGAAAAAUACUGAGUUUUGGUGGGUCAAACGAAUUUAUUUCAAAGCUAGUAAUCUGGGAAAACGGUUGCCGUCGUAACCAGACCAGUGUUCGUGUUUCGUCCAUAACUCCGUACUCCGACGUCGAAAUCAAGUGCCGUUAGCGGCAUUUGAAUCUAGACGUUCCCAUGUUUCCAACGGUGUAUAAUUCACCUUCUGGUUUUAUGUGUGUGAGCCACACCAUUCAUCUGAAGUCAGCUGUCCUGUUUCUCCGUUCUGCCGAAAUGAUUUGUUGAUGCUGCAACUUUAGGCUUAAAUUCGAGCCAGUUGCAUGCUGAAACUUCUAACGAUUUCUUCUGUGAAAUUUUAUCCCUGUGAAUGUAUUUUCUAACACUAUCAACCAUUCCCAAUUCCGAGUUAAAUUGAGGGAGUUAUGAUCAAAAUACGGCGACUGCCUCGUUUUUGAAACCUUAGAUUUGGACAGAUUGCCUUAAGGAUUUUUCCAAAUUUGGUUGAUUGAAUGACCACCCUUCCGAGGGUAUUUUUCCAUGAAAUUUUAUAGGGAGAUACCCUUCAUAUGGGAGUAUUAUACUGCAAAAUUUGGUGUCAAUCCAAGUCCGUUUCGGCACUUAAUAAAAGGUCCAAAGUCGGAACCAAAUCUGGAAAUUUUGUAACAGUCUUGAAUUUUCCCAACUUUGAACUACCGUAUCUCGGUACUCGAAACUCUGAUUCUUGAGCCGCUUGUUCUGUUCAAAACUUUACUUGCACUUCUAAUCGAGUUAUAAGUUUCAAGGGCCGGUUUGCAACGAGUGAUUUUUGCCGAAUUUCCAAAGUUAGCGAAAAACCAACCCCGGCUCAAUCCUGGUAAUCUAGAACAGCAACUUUAGGCUCAUUUUUGAAUACCUUCCACUUAGAUUCAUGGAAUGGUGUCUUCUAAGGACUUUUAGUACUUUGGAAGACGAUUCCAACGGUACCAAAUUCAUCAAGUUUCGAUUAGUAGAAAGCAAGUUAUGAUUUUUCAAAGAUUUGACCAAAAAUUGAAAAUUCUGGAAUUUCAAAGGAAAUCCGCGAAGGAACAAUUUUACCAGAAUCCGGCCUUGAAUCCGGCCAGUUUCUGGCCGGAUUGGUGGCGAAGUUUGAAAAAAAAAGGAGGUUAGCCACUGCCUCCAAUCCGGCCAGGUUCCGGCCGGAUUGUGGCGUGGCCAGCCCUCUUUCGAUUUCGAUCGUUCGAUUUGCAAUCGUUUUGCUCGUACUCGUUUCCAACCAAUGAUUUUAAGGAUAAUAAUCCGAUUUUUACUCGAGUCCUGCACCCUUUUGAGAAUCCAACUUCAAAGACAAGUCAAACGAAGUUUUCAAAUAUUUCCGAACCUUACCCGUGUCCAAUCUUUCUCACCACUUGGGGACCUAUAGUAAUUAUCUACUAUUCGAUGUUCAGGCACGCACGAGGACCUCCAAGAGGACCCUACCGUGGAAGUUUGAACUCUCCCUCCAACCUACUUGCUUGCAUAACUGGUGAGUGUCAAGUGUAUGCCUAUUUGAACUCUAAAGUCUUGAUUCAUGCUUGACUUACCUGAUUACAUGCUUAGUCUAUUUGAUUUUGAAAAAAUGGAGUCGAGUGUGUACUUAAUCGCACUCGUUCUCAUUUGGCACGAAUGACUCAUGUCUAACAUGAUUUGCCUGGUUUACAUGACUUGAAAUGCCUGCUUAAACAUGUCAAAUGUUUGAAUACAUGAAAUGGUAUGCUAUGAUUGCAUACGUCGUUGGAGUGAAUCUCCUCGACACUUACAUGAUACAUGGGGGACGCCCAAACUCAUAGGCCGACCUUGGAACUCGAGCCGGCAUGGGCUUGGUCGGGAACCUUGGUGAGCCAUGAGAAUUACAUGAUAAGCUUGAUCUAUUUGAGAGAUCUUGCUUGGCAUACUCGUGGAGUAUAGCCUUCUAAAUGUCUUGCGGGCCCGAAGCGGUGUAUGGUGGACGGAUGAGAAGUAAGUGGUGAACUACGGAUAUGAAAUAUCAACCCGGUUGACGGAGAGUCAACGCGGGGAGAUAUACGAAUGACAUCGGCAAAAAUGUGGAACUUAGCUCCUGAGAGCUACCAUAUCCUUGAAUUGUUUUGGUUACAUUUUGUUGGCAUUAUUAAUUACUUGCAAUUUUUUACUUGAAUUGUUACUUGGCUUGUUACCUGAGCUAUGUGCCUGCAUGUGUGUUCUUGGCCUCACGAGCGUUUUGCUCACCCUGUAGAUUUGUUUUCCUUAACAGGAUUGAACUUGGCGAGGUAUCGAAGGAACCUUCCUGCUACGCUUUUGUUUAGGGUUUCUAUUACUUUUGACUUUGUCUUGGCUUUUGGGUUGUAUUUUGGAAUCCGAAUGUAACUUUUGGAGCAUGAUGUAUAUUUGGGAUAUAUGAUGGUUGUUGAACACCUGAUGUGCGGGUUGGAUAUUGAAUGACUAUUAUUAAGUUUGAACGCUUCCGCAUUUAUUGUAUCUAAGUUAUUGGUUUGUAUUGUGUGGUCCGGCUAUAAGUUGAAUGGAAUUGCUUGAGUCCUGGCGAGAGCUAGGCAGGCGUUCCGCGGAUACCCUUUGGUUCGCCUUAGGGAGAAGUGGGGGCGUCACAAUAAGUAUCAGCAGCUCCCUUCCUGCAAGUCUCCCUCUCAUUUUGAUGGUUUUGUGUUCAUUCCCCCCUGCUAAAGCAUGAAUGGAGACCUCUAUGUUCUCCUUGCAGAUACCUCUUUCUGAACAGUCACUAUACUCUUCAGCACUCUCCCCUUGUCCCUCCAAUGGAAUGUCAGGUUCAGUAGGCUUAUCUAUCACUAUGUAAUGAACAUGAGCUUGUUUGCAGGUAUGUCCUAAGGUAUAUGGUUCAGCACACUUGAAACACAACCCCUUCUCCCUUCUAUAACUAAAUUCAGAGGGAGUGAUUCCCUUGUAGUGACUGGUUGAUGGUCCCCCUAGUUUGGUACUCUUGUUGGUAUGGUGGUCUGGUUUUUGGUUGUUAGGCCAUUUCAUUUUGUUGGAGAAAUUAGUGGUAUGUGACAAUGGUGGCAAGGAAGGUUUCUAUAUGCCCCUACCCUGUGCUUUUUUAAUGGCUUCUAGAUUUUUCUCCUGUAGUUUAGCAAUUUCAAUGGCAUCUGCUAAUGUAAGUGGUUUGGUCAUCCUGACCAUGUUGACAACUUCAUCCUUAAGACCACUAAGGAAACAGGAUUUAUAAUAGGAAUCAGGUUGUCCAGGGAGUGAGAUCAUCACCAGUGAUUUCAGCAUCUCAAAUUUUUCCAGGUAGUCUGCUACACUGCCAGUUUGUACCAAUUUAUUGAACUCCUCAAUGGCCUCCUGUGGAACUCCCUCUCCAAACCUCUCACAGAUUGGUAAGGACAGCUCCCUCCAUGGAACUGCUCCCCUUUCAGAGUACAUUCCAUGAAACCAGAUGUCUGCUCUAUCCUUGAGAUAGAGCUGGGCAAUAUCAAUUUUCAUUUCUUCCUCUACUCCAUAUAUCUGGAAGUACUUGUUAGCUCUCCUCACCCACUCCCUAGGAUUGGUCCCAUUAAACAGAGGAAAACCCAUCCUAGGCAGUUUGGAUCCUCCCUUCCCCUCACCUUUUCCCUUAACUCCCUCUACAAUCUGGCCAUUUCCUGGGUGGCUGUCCCCUACCUCCUUUCCCUUAUCAUUCAAUUUGGACAUAAUUUGGGCCAUCAUGUUCAUCAUACCCUCAUAUUUUUGGUCUAAAUUUUUGAUAGCUCUAUCUGUGCUCUCCUGCCUAUGCUCUAUUGCCCUCACAGUCUGUUCUACCCCAUCAUGUUUAUUAGCAAAAGUCCUCACCACACUCCCCAACUCAGUGAGCUCCCUUCUUAGUGCUUCCUCAUGAGUUUUAGACAUCCCGUUGGCUCGUAGCUCUGCUCUGAUACCACUGUGAUGGUAUCGAAUAGUAACUAGGCAAUAGAGUGGCCGAGAAUGGAAUUUGAUACAGUUUACUUGCGCAGAACUUAUGAUUAUCAGCAAGAAAAAACUAUUAAGAACGGUUAAGCAAUCAAACGAAAUAAUAUUGGUAUUGACUGAAUAAGAGGAUACAGAAUUGGCGGUAAAGGAAAGGAAAUGACAAGAAUGAAGGAAGAAACAGAAAGAAGAAUGCUCAGGGAACAAUCCCAAAUUUAGCUAAUAAAUUCCUACCCUCUCCUCUCUGUUCCUGGCCAAUUUAUAGCUACUAGUAACUAAUUCUUUGGUGUCCUUGGUUCAGCUAGCCCUCGUGACCUUGCUAACAGAAUUGGUUGCAGAUCCACUUGCCCACUUGAGCUCACGUUUCUUGAGCAUUUUCCCAGAAAAGGCGUGAUUACGAACUCACGCCUUCUUUGCUUCCUUUGUUAAUUUCUACGCUUUCCUGCUGAGACCACGCCUUCUUCUCUUGACAAAGACGUGCUUCUUGCUUCCACGUUUUCAGCUUUAUUUAUCUGUUUCAUGACAUAUCUUCAAUUUUUCUUUUUAAUUCUUAGCAGCAGCAUGAACCAACUCCCGUGGAGUUUGGACCCUCUAUGGAUCAUCUUUUUAUAUUGCCAAUAAUCCGCCAACACUUAUUUAUGUAUCUCUAUAUUUAUGCAUGUGGAACUCGUCUAGUGGUAGCUGCAGCAAAGACGACGAUGAUCAGCAAACAAAGGCCAAAAACGGACCAAGACAUGAGCUUGAAAGAGAGUGGGAAAGGAACAGUUAGAGCAAAUAAGAAGGCUAUGAAAAUUGAUAGCUUUGCCACCAACAUCGAAGCAUGUCUAAAGUUUGGGAAAGUGAAGGAGAUGAAGUUGGGAAAGGUACAGUUAGAGCAAAUAAGAAGGCUGUGAAAAUUGAUAGCUUUGCCACCAACAUCAAAGCAUGUCUAAAGUUUGGGAAAGUGAAGGAGAUGAAGUUGGACAUAAAAACAGAGGCGAAGGCAAAGAGCAUAGCAAGAGAGAGCAAGUGCAUGAGGAGUGGGAGUUUGAUUUGGGGUUGAAGGGAUUGAAGAGCUAUCUCCACUGCUGAAGUCAAGCAAAAUGCAACGAUUACAGCUGCCCAAUCAAAAUGAUAUGCUGCAUAAUUAACUUGAUGAACAUCACUGGAAACUGUUUGUGGAUCAAUCCUUUGCUCCUCAAGUUGAUGAGCAGCCUCGAGGUCAAGAGCAGAAGAAGAAGGUGGGAUAUCCGGGGUGGCCAUUGUUGACGUGGGUGAGGUUGAAAAGAGCAGGGUCAAAUUCCCUAAUACCGUGCAUAAUGAAUGAAAGGACAUGCGGAUGGCUGCUCUUUUGUGAGCGCAAUAGGCCAAUAUUUUCCUAUUACGAGUUCCUAUCCUGGUCCCGGCCUCCAUUUGAUUUCUACUUUGAGCAAUGGCUUGAAGAUUGGAUUCCGAAGAAUGUUCAAAUUUGCAAAUUAAGCAUGGUUGAGAAGGCCAGAAGGCAUGAGGUGAAGAGUGAUAAGCACGUAGUACUACGUACUAUAUAUAUAGUAGUUAAUUUUUUUUUCGAAACGAUAUUAGUAAUAUAUUGAUCAUCAACUGAAUUUUAUACUUGGAGCAAAGGCCCCUCAUUUCUAUACAAAAAGUGCUCAAUAGCACAGAGGAUUGAUCCAUUCCUCAUCAUGUAUGAUGCCUAAGGCAUAUUCACCAACUCUAAUACUAACAUGAUUAUCAUUUUUAGAUAUAACACAAAAAGAGCAUAUUUGAAACAGAGCUCUCAAGCUAAGAAUAUCCUCAACUAGAGUAUUCAAUUUAAUAUUUGAUGCACUUCCGGAGCAGAUUUACCAGGCCCGGACACAUGGGAAUAUGGUCCCUGUGGAGUGGGGACCCCACACGGUGACGUCGGUGAGUGCUGUGUCGUUGAUAAAAUGAAUUGCGCUGCCAAGUGGCUGUGGGCGGUCAACAAGUUUUGUUGUCAAGAGUAUUAUCUGAGUUGUCAAGAGUAUUAUCUGACAUAGCAAGACAGAUCCAUUACAGAAAUUUCUAAUCCAGAAAUUCUGCUUCGUAAAAUGCGCUAGGGUUUGGUUGCCGUUGGAGGAAGACAACCGACCUAAAUCAAAAUGCAUAUGGGUUAUUAUCACUUUACCCCCUUAAAUUAUAUCAUUGCUAUCAGUUUACCUCCUAACGUUAUUUUUUAGUCACUUUAGAGCUGCAAACGAACCCAACUACUUGCGAGCUGUUCGAGUCAAGCUCGACUUGAGCUCGAUCAAUAUCGAGCUCAAGUCGAGCUCGAGAUCAAAAUAUUAAGUUCGUUAGGCUCGCGAGCUUGAGUGUAUAUAUAUAUAUUAUUUUUUAUUUCAAUAUCGAGUAUGUAUAUUUUUUUAUUUUUAUUUUAAUAAUAAAAUUAUAUCCUUAAUAUUUUUAUUAUUUAUUAAGAAAAAUAUUAUUUUAUUAUUUUUUUAAAACUAAAAUAAUUAUUUUUUUUAUUUUUUCGAACUCGAGCUUGAGCUCAAACUCGGCUCGAAUCCAGUCAAGCUCGAGCUCGAGUUUUAAAUUGUCAGGUCGUCGAGUUCGAGUUUAACAAAAUUAAGUUAAGGUUCGACUCGAUUAUGCCAAAAUUCGACUCAGUUCCACUCAUUUACAACCCUAAGUCACUUUAUCCCCAUAAGUAAUUCAAUUUAACAUAUUAAGAAAUUUUGAAAAAAAUACCUUUUUAUUUUAUAGCAUUACUACAUUGUUAUUAUCACUUUAUUCAUUUAGAUUAUAGUGAUACAAUCACUUUAGUUCUUAACAUUAUUUUUUAGACAUUUUACCUCAUCGUUAAUCUAACUAGUAUGGUCAAAAAAUUUUAAAUAUAUUUACCCUUUUUUAUAUAUAAUUAAAAAUAAAAAAAUUGGAAUGGUUAUUCUUCUUCUUUUUUUUUUUACUUUAAGAGAUUGAAAAACAAAAAAAUAAAAGGUUUUCUCAAAUUUCUUUUUUUCACAUUUGUUAAUACUAGGAAAAGAAAAAGCGAUAGGAAAGAAGGAGACAAAAAGUUAGAUUUUGCAAAAAAAAAGAAAAUAAAGAAAAGUCUAACAUUAUCGCAUUACUUUAAGGUUGUCGAGAUUAGAAUUGGAAUUUAAUGGCAAACAAAAAAGUAAAAUAAUUUUUAAAAAUGAUAAAAGUAUUUAAUUCUUUUUUAUUUGUAAUUUUUUUAAAAAAAAAUUGAGCUCUCUCUCUCCCUAUCCCGUUCCCCCUCCCCUUCUCUGUCUUUCUAUUUUUUUCAAUAUUAAUAAAAUUACUAAGAAGAAAGAAAUUAAUAUUUUGACUUUUUUUCUUGAUACUAAAAAGGAGAAGAGUCACUUUAAAUUUUUUAUUAUUUUUAUUAUGCAAAGAGGAGGGUAUUUUCUUCUAAAGUUUUUUAACUUGUUAAGUUGGUUUAAUGGCAGGAUAAAUUGCCUAAAAAAUAACUCUAGGGGAUAAAUUGAUAAUGAGACUAUAUUUUAUGGGGGUAAAGUGAUAAUAAUUUUAAGGGUUAAACAUGUCUUUUUACUUUAAUUAACAAAUUCCGUUAAGUUUGACCUUUAAUCUUGGGAUAAAGUUAUUAAAAGAUAACGUUAAAGGGAAAAUUGAUAGUAGCACCAAAUAUUAAGAGGGUAAAGUGAUAAUAACCCUUUAUGAAUUGAUGUUUUGUCGUUGAUGUUGUAUACGGAAACCUUUAUGGUAGGAAGACUGCUACCGUAGGAAGCCAUGCAGAGUUGGACACGUGCAUUUGGUCAAAAAGCACCGAACGGAGCCGUCAUGUGGCAGUGGUAAUGCGCGUGGAGAAAGAUUUGUACCAGAUUUAUCUUUUGUAUUACCAAAGUAGUAUUAGCAAAGGAAUGACAAAACAUUACAAAAUAAUUAAUAAUUAAUAAACUUCAUAUGGGCAAAUGGGCAUUACCUAUUCAAAAUAUUAGUUUUUUGUGGACAUUUUACUCUCAAACAUUCAAUUUAUAAUAAAUAUAUGAAUGUUUUUAAGUAAAAUUCAAAAAGUGUUACAGUAAUUUCUUACAAAAAAAAAACUAGUAGGUUAUCUAUUUAACAUAAAUUAAAUAUUUUUUAAAAAAGAAAUAUCCUAUAAAGUAUCAUCUCUUUAUGGUUUUUCUCUAUUACAUGAACCAAAUACCAGGUUUUCAUAGGUAUUUUAUUCUGAAUCAUUUAAUUUAUAUUAAAUACAUAAAUAUUUGCAAAUAAAAUUCAAAAGCCGUUACACAAAUAUUUUUACGAAAGGAAAACUAGCAUGUUUUGUAUUUACUAUAAAUGAAGUAUUUGAAAGUAAAAAAAAAAUUGUCCAUAACAUACCAAUUCUUUACGAGUUUCUUCCAUUAUAUGAAUAAAGUACUAGCUAUUUAUGAGCAUUUUACUUUGAAUCAAUUAAUUUAUAUUAAAUACAUAAAUGUUUAUAAGUGAAAUUCAAAAAGUGUUACACUAAUAUUAUUACGAAAGGGAAACUAGUAGGUUUUGUAUUUAACAUAAAUUAAAUAUGUGAAAGUAAAAAAAGAAAUUACCCACUUUUUACUAUCUCUUUACGGGUUUUUUCUAUUAUAUGAAUAAAAUACUUGCUAUUUAUAGGCAUUUUACUCUAAAUCAUAUAAUUUAUGUUAAAUACAUAAAUGUUUGUAAGUAAAAUUUAAAAAGUGAUAUACUAAUGUUUUUACGAAAGAAAAACUAGUAGGUUUUGUAUUUACAUAAAGUAAAUACGUGUAUACUAAUUAGUAUAACUGUAUUACUAAAUGUAUUACUAAAUUUAGUAUAACUAAUUCAUAAUUUUUAUUAAUAAGCAUGUAUACUUAAUACUACAAUUCAUAUUAUCAAUUAAAUUACCUACACCCCUGCACAUUAUAUAUUACACAUAGCUAAUAAUAUUAUUAUUUAAAGUUUGUAACUAAUCAAAUUAAAUAUUAUAUAUGAUAAAAGAAAAUUAUAAAAAUUUUGUAAUAUUAAUAUACUAUACACAAAUAUUAUAUUAAUAGAGGCCCGCAGAGCAUGACACGUUAUAAAUUUUUUUUUUGGGAUAAUUUCAUAAACCAAAUCGCGAUUACUUUCUGUAAAGUAUCAAUUUCCCAUAAAAGACCAGCUCUUUAUGGCUUUCCUCUAUUAUAAGAACAGAGUACCCGUAAACGCAUUUAUUUAUGGGAUAAAAUAGAAUAAACCCGUUUUCCAAUAAAACAUCAGCUGUUUAUGGCUUUCUUCCAUUAUAAGAACAGAGUACUUAUAAACCCGUAAACACAUUUACUUAUGGGAUAAAAUAAAAAUUAACCCGUUUUUCAAUAAAAUACCCGCUCUUUAUGGCUUUCCUCUAUUAUAAGAACAGAGUGCCCAUAAACUCGUAAAUACAUUUAUUUAAGGGAUAAAAUAAAAAAAAACCCAUUUGCCUAAUAAAACACCGGCUCUUUAUGAGUUUCCUCUAUUAUAAGAACAAAGUACCCAUAAACCUGUUAACACAAUUACUUAUGCGAUAAAAUAAAAAUUAACCAGUUUUUCAAUAAAACACCAGCUCUUUAUGGCUUUCCUCCAUUAUAAGAACUAUGCAACCAUAAACCCGUAAACACAUUUAUUUUUGGGAUAAAGUAAACAAAACCCACUUUCCAAUAAAGCACCAGCUCGUAUUACAAUUCAUAUUAUCAAUUAAAUUAUCUACACCCUUGCACAUUAUAUAUUACACAUAGCUAAUAAUAUAAUUAUUCUAAGUUUGUAACUAACCAAAUUAAAUAUUAUAUAUGAUAAAAGAAAAUUAUAAAAAUUUUGUAAUAUUAAUAUAACUAUAUAUUAAUAUACUAUACACAAAUAUUAUAAUACAUGAACAUCUAAUAUACAUUUAUAAAUAAUAUAAUUAUAUUACUAUAUAAAUUUAAUGAAUUUAUAACACAUAUGUUUCAUAAAUAUACGGUCCUCUAUUAAUGAAAUGAUUAUACUAUAUAUUUAUACAAUAUAUUAUACAUAUGUAUAUAAUAAUUAUAAAUACAAACAUAACUAUAUUUGUUAUUAGGAAAAUAUUAUAACGAUUAUAAAUAUAUUAUAUAACUAUACUAAUAUUGUAAUAAAAAUAUAAUUAGUCCUUAAAUAUUUUAAUUAAUAUAUGCAUCACUAUCAUAAUUAUUCCAAUUCUCCCUUCCCAAACGCUAUUUUGAAACGCCGCAUUAAAUUGUCAUGCUCACUUUUCGACAAAUUAAUACAACGGUAACUGAAUUCAUACGCGAUUUCUUGAGCAUCAGUCCAUAAAAUGUGCUUGUUAAUUUUAUGGACGGUGAUGUUAGUAGCAAAUACAAUUUUUGAUACUUAACUGUAGUCUAACAACAUUUCUUUCCUAUUUUUCCAAUAUGACAAUUGCAACUACAUACUUUUACAAAGUAUACGUCGGCUUCAAUUUCAUAUAUUCAGUGUUGAUGUAAAUCAAAAGCCAUUAAUGAUAUUUCGAUGUUUUCAAAUCCGUUACAAAACUAAUUUGAAUGAAGAACAUACAACCGAAAGCUAAAUCGGAUGCUUAUGUUGAACAUUUGGGUACCAAACAUACAUAUUAUACAUAUGUGUGAAUCGUUUUCUAUUUUAAAUUGAUGCCUAACCAGUACAUUCACCUCCCGUUUUUUGCUCUUCCCGCUUCUUCUCCACCGCACGUGGCAAAUUUAAAAUUAUCAUCAAGUUGUAAAUUCCUUUCUUUCUUGACACAAUUACAUUUACAGUCAGUUGUCGCAUAUUUCCAUUCGUUACGACUUAAUUUGCAAAUGUUGUGUACCUCUGGUUCAAUCCUGCAAUUAUCCCUUCCUCUACUAUCCUAAGCGGUCAACAGCGUACAGUAUUCCUUGGUAAUCGAAUGAUCUGCAUCCGGACACGAUAUUCUGGUUCCAUCUGUCCAUGCGCGUUUGCACUUUAACCAUCCGGACACGGCAUUUUGGUUAUAUUAGUCCACGCGUGUUUCCACUUCAACAAAACGUCUCCGUCAGCAUAAAGGCCUUCUUGACCCCGUGUCAUGCUCUGCGGGCCUAUAUUAAUAUAAUAUUUGUGUAUAGUAUAUUAAUACAUAGUUAUAUUAAUAUUACAAAAUUUUUAUAAUUUUCUUUUAUCAUAUAUAAUAUUUAAUUUGAUUAGUUACAAACUUAGAAUAAUAAUAUUAUUAGCUAUGUGUAAUAUAUAAUGUGCAGGGGUGUAGGUAAUUUAAUUGAUAAUAUGAAUUGUAGUAUUAAGUAUACAUGCUUAUUAAUAAAAAUUAUGAAUUAGUUAUACUAAAUUUAGUAAUACAUUUGUACUAAUACAUUUAGUAAUACAUUUGUACUAAUAUAGUGUACACGUAUUUAAUUUAUGUUAAAUACAAAACCUACUAGUUUUCCUUUUGUAAAAAUAUUAGUGUAUCACUUUUUCAAUUUUACUUACAAACAUUUAUGUAUUUAACAUAAAUUAUAUGAUUCAGAGUAAAAUGCCUAUAAAUAGUUAGUACUUUAUUCAUUUAAUAGAAGAAACUCGUAAAGAGUUAGUAAAAAGUGGGUAAUUUCUUUUUUUUUUUUAACUUUCACGUAUUUAAUUUAUGUUAAAUACAAAACCUACCAGUUUUCCUCUCGUAAUAAUAUUAGUGUAACACUUUUUGAAUUUCACUUAUAAAUAUUUAUGUAUUUAAUAUAAAUUAAUUGAUUCAAAGUAAAAUGCUCAUAAAUAGCUAGUAGUUUAUUAAUACAGAAAAUCGUUCAAAAUGUCCCUCACAUUAAAUUAACUUUUCUCGUCCCUUACUUUUAAAAAUGUAAUUUUACGUCCCUUACAAAUUCAUAUUGACUAAAUUUGGUCCCUACCUAGAUUUCCGACUAGUUUUUGGCUGGAAUCCACCAUGUGACUUGCAUGUGAUCAUUUUUUAAGGACAAAAUUGUCAAAUCAAAUUUUUGCAUAAUCUGAUUCAUAGUCCCUCACAUUUCACAAAAUGAAUUUUUCGUCCUUAACAUUUUACAAAAUGAAUUGUUUCAUUCCUCACAUUUCAAGAAAUGAAUUUUCCCAUCCUUCACAUUUUUCAAAAUGAAUUUUUUCAUCCCUCAUUGAUCAUGUGUACGAAUAGCUUUUUUUCUAUAAACUCACGUAUAUGUCUAUUUGAUUUUACUUGAACAAUAUGAAUAACAUGUAAUUUAUCUCUAUUGAAUUUCGUCUAAGCAUGCUAAUCGUAGCUAUACACAUGCUAUUCAAUAGAUAUAUAUAUAGGGAUUUAAAACUAAUAAUUUUGUUUGAAACCCACGUAUAUAUUUAUAUGAUUUCAUCAUUUGAACCUAUUCAAUAUUUGUAACCUUUCUCUUUUGGUAAUAAUUUAUUUAUUGAGUUGUAUAAUAAGGUCAUCUAAUUAAUGGGUCUUAACUCGAAUUCUAUAAUUGUGCUAACAAAUUUCAGUUUAAAUCUGAAAUUUCUACUCGACACUUUUAAGACCAACAGUUAAAUUACUUGCCUUGUGAUUGUCUUAAAAUUUGAAAGUGCCAAUCACUUAUUUCUUUUUAUCAUACUUUUCUUUUGUUUACUUUUUCUAUCCAAAUUUAAUUCGAUAUAACACUUGAUAAUAUUUAGGAUUAAAUGUCAUCUUUAUUUUCAAAUUUCGAGUAAAAAAAAAUGAAUAUAAGUGAAAAACUAACAAUUUUUUUAAAACACGUGUAUAUAUCUAUUUGAUUUCACUUGAGUAGUACGAAUAGUAUGUAAUAUAUCUCUAUUUGAUUUUAUAUGCUAUUUGUAUUGUUCAAGUGAAAUCAAAUAGAUACAUGAAUUUAAAAAAAAAUUAUUCACACACAUGAUCAAUAAAAGAUGAAAAAAUUCAUUUUGAAAAAUGUGAAGGAUGAAAAAAAUUCAUUUUGUGAAAUGUAAGGGAAAAAAAAUUUAUUCUAUGAAAUGUGAGGGAUUAUGAAUCGAAUUAUAUAAAAUUUGAUUUGACAAUUUUGCCCUUAAAAAAUGAUCACAUGCAAGUCACAUGGUGGAUUCCGAUAAAAAACUAGUCAGAAACCUAAGUAGGGACCAAAUUUGACCAAUGUGAAUUUAUAAGGGACAUAAAAUUAUAUUUUUAAAAGUGAGGGACGAAAAAAGUUAUUUUGCAAAAUGUGCGGGACGUUUUGAACGAUUUUCUCUUAUUAAUAUAAUGAAAAAAACUCGUAAAGAAUUGGUAUGUUAUGGACAAUUUUUUUUUACUUUCAAAUACUUCAUUUAUAUUAAAUACAAAACAUGCUAGUUUUUCUUUCGUAAAAAUAUUUGUGUAACAGCUUUUGAAUUUUAUUUGAAAAUAUUUAUGUAUUUAAAAUAAAUUAAAUGAUUCAAAAUAAAAUACCUAUAAAAACCUGGUACUUGGUUCAUAUAAUAGAGAAAAGUCAUAAAGAGUUGGUACUUUAUGGGAUAUUUUUUUUAAAAAAAUAUUUAAUUUAUGUUAAAUAGAUAAUUUACUAGUUUUUUUUGUAAGAAAUUACUGUAAUACUUUUUGAAUUUUACUUAAAAGCAUUCAUAUAUUUAUUAUAAAUUGAAUGUUUGAGAGUAAAAUGCCCAUAAAAAUCUAGUAAAAUACCCAUUUUGAAUAGGUGUUGUUGUCCCCAAUCUAAAACCCACUUUCCAAACAAACAAAUUUAUUCUAAAUUUUUUUUUUUGGAUAAUUUCAUAAAGUUUGCUCGCGGUCACUUUCUGUAAAGUAUCACUUUUCCACAAAAGACCAGCUCUUUAGGCCUUUUCUCCAUUAUAAGAACAGGGUACCCAUUUUCUCAUGAACAAAUUUAUUUAUCGAAUAAAAUAACAAUAAACCCGUUCUCUAAUAAAACAUUAGCUCUUUAUGAUUUUCUUCCAUUAUAAGAACAGAGUACCCAUUUUUUCCAUGAACAAAUUUAUUUAUCGGAUAAAAAAAAUAAACCCAUUGUUCAAUAAAACACCAGCUUUUUAUGACUUUCCUCCAUUAUAAGAAUAGAGUACCCAUUUUUCCAUAAACAAAUUUAUUUAUAUAAGAACAGAGUACCCAUUUUUUCAUUAUAAGAACAGAGUACCCGUUCUCCAAUAAAACACCAACUCUUUAUGGCUUUCAUCCAUUACAAGAACAGAGUACCCAUUUUUUCAUAAACAAAUUUAUGUAAUCGGAUAAAAUAACAAUAAACCCGUUCUCCAAUAAAACACCAGUUCUUUAUGGUUUUCCUCCAUAAAUUAUCCAUUUUCCUUUUUUUCCAUAAGCUAAUUUAUUAGUUGGAUAAAAUCAGAAUAAAAUUAGGUUGAAUGGCAAAUUACCCUUGAGGAUACAAUGGAACAGUAGAAACUAACCUAUAGCAAGUUUAAACUCCGUUUCCACUACAAACAUAUGCUAGAAAUUAUUUUUGCAAACUCAAGACACCUAAUUUAUAAAAUCUUAAGAAACCUUUAAAACUGUUAUAAAAAGCAACUUAUUCAUUCUAAAUUUUUGUUUGGGAUAAUUUCAUAAACCUUCCCAGAGGUUUCUAUCAAUUUUACUUGGCACUCACAAAUAUUGAAAAAUCUCAACUUAUCUCUCUUUUUUUUUUUGGGUCUGAAACUCACUUGCCCCCCUUACUUUAAACUUUCAAAACAAAGCAACACAAAUGUAACUUUGUUGGAUGCAUAACCACCAGUCUCCUUUUCAUAAUUGUAGGGCACUGAUGGAUUACUAAUUUAUUUACUAGAUAAAAUCAGUGUAAAUUGCAAAUAAGUGGGUUUAAUAUGUUAUACCCGUUUAUUCAUAAAUUAUUACCCAUUUACGGGUAUGCUGCAAAAAGUGCCCAUUUUCCCAGUUUCCAAAAAGUAUAAAAAUUUGUAUUUGAUACUAACAUCACCGUCCAUAAAGUAGCAAGCACAUUUUAUGGAGUGAUGCUCACGAAACUACGUACGAAUUCAGUUACUGUUGUACUAAUUUGUCGAAAAGUGAGCAUGACAAUCUAAUGUGGAGUUUCUGAACAGAGUUUGGGAAUGAAUAAUUCGAAUAAUUAUGAUAGUGAUGUAUAUAUUAAUUAAAAUAUUUAAGGACUAAUUAUAUUUUUAUUACGAUAUUACUAUAGUUAUAUAAUAUAUUUAUAAUCGUUAUAAUAUUUUUUUAAUAACAAAUAAAGUUAUAUUUGUAUUUAUAAUUAUUAUAUACACAUGCAUAAUAUAUUGUAUAAAUAUAAAGUAUAAUUAUUUAAUUAAUAGAGGACCGUAUAAUAAUGAAACGUAUGUGUUAUAAAUUGAUUAAAUUUAUAUAGUAAUAUAUUUAUAUUAUUUAUAAAUAUAUUUAUAAAUGUAUUUUAGAUGUUCAUGUUAUUAUAAUAUAUAUGUUUAUGUAAUAAUACUUCAGUUGUACUUCGUUUGUACUUCAGUUGUAUAUAAAUGCGUUUCCUUUCUUCAGUUGUACUUCGUUUGCUCCUCCUCGCGUAAGCAUUGCAAUAUAACGGGUCCGUUUGGUCCUCAUUCUUCAUAGACACGUGUCGACCUCUGUAUGGCUUCCUACGAUAGGAACGGUCAAAGUGCUUCCUACCAUAAAGGUAUCCGUUGUAUACUCAAGAAUUGAUCAACAUACUCAAGAAUUGACUAUUGUUGUUGUUGCUGCUGCUGCAGACUCGUGAAUAAGACAAAAAAAAUUUAUUUUUCCUGCUGCUGCUGCAACUAUCUCUGGAUCUACAUUAGACAAUGAUUGAUGCAUUAAUCAUCAUCGAGGUAACUGCUCAAUUGGGAGAACGUAAAGAGCCGAGACCCUGUUCUCAAAACAUGAACCCAAUGGCCACAAUAUUCCAAUUUCAAUAAUGUCCAAUUACUGCAUCGUAUGAUUCUGGGGAAUUCCACUAAAAUUGUAGGCUAGUAGCAAAUUAAUUGAGCAUUGGUAUAUCGGUAUAAAGAGCUAAAAUAGACAUGAGAUGAUUCCUUUUGAACCCCCCCCCCCCCCCCCCCCCCACCACAAAAAAAACAAAAAAAUUAAAAAAAAAAAAGAAGUUUACGUAUGCAGUAGUCUCACCUCACACCAUCAUUUAGGAAAUUUUUUUUCCUUAAUUUUUUUUUAGCAAAACAUUUGGGAAAAUUGGUAGCCUCUAAAAAUGUGAUGCCAAUGGCAUGAGCUGUUUAUUUUGGUUAUCCUUUAGAAUGUUUGUUCUUCUGAAAGAAUUUUCUUUAUAAAUGGCUACACAAAACUGAAAAGAGAAUACUCAAAAUAAAGAAAACAAUUUUGUAAAAGACCAUUGACAAGACAAGACUAUUAGGAUCACAAAUUACUUAGUUGUAGGGAAAGAAAAGUACGUGUCCAGAAUUCUAAUAGAAUCGCUAAAAGUCCUUUCCCCUACAUCGGUGAUUGGUUGUAGCAAAAUUGUCUGGCUUUAACUAAAGAAAUAAGCACAAAAUAAAAGAAGAAAAAUACGCUUUUGCCCCAACUUGGCAAUAGCUUUUGAAGUUCCAACACGUCACAUUCGGCUCUUGAACUACUCUCAUGAUUUCUCAAUAUUUCUGUAAAGUUUCCAACUGAAUCAUUCCUGAGAAUUACUCUUACAAAACAUAUUUGAUUUUGCCAAAAUGGAAGUAUGAGGAUAAAUUAGGAAUCAAGUACAAUUAUUUAUUUUUAAUUUAUUUUGUGUGUGUGUGUGUUUUUUUUUUUUUGUGGAUAGAUCAGAGAACGAUAGCAAAGGCCAACAAUUUGUGUGGCCUGAACCAUUUCCCAUAACCAGGCCCAACACAAACAAGAAGCGGAAGGAUAUUGCGGAAAUUUUGUAGAUCUUUAGUAGACUAGCCGAGUUGUUUCCCUUCAUGCAGUCAUGCACGAGGAAGCGGAAUCCGUUCAUUUGUUGCAGCAGCAUAGACAAUGACUUGCAAUCAAUGACCAAAAAUGGACCAGCAUGUGAUCUUGAGAGGCAAAAAUGAAUGUGACAAAAACCAUCGAAGACAAUGCUUCCUCUUCAUAUCCUUUUCUCACUAUGUAUCAUUGAAUUGCACCAGUACCCCAGUCCUGAUAUCAAAAACUGCAGCACAUGCUGUCAAAACUCCUGGAAAGGUAUAUUGAUUUGCCUCAAGACCCUCCACCUUCAUGCCUCUAAAACAGUGAAUUGCUUUGUGUACAUCACCAUUCAGAGAAUACCCAUUAAUCAUAGCGAUCCAAGUAACGCGAUUUCUCCCACUCAGCUUUGGUCACGCAUAAGCACUUUGCAUACGUACCAAUAAGGGUAGUGUUUACAAAUACAUUUGUAUCAAAAUUGGUCUUAUUGGCAUAUCCAUGGACCUGUUUGCCUUUCAAAGGCAAACCCAUCACAGAACGCACCCUUAGAACACUGCCUAACGUGCACUGACUCGGCUUGUGACCGUCGCAUUGCAUCUCCCAAAACAACUGAAUACCUUCAGUUUCGUACCCAUAUUUGCAAUACCAACUGAAAUGAGGGAUGGUCAAGGGAUUGAACUCUUAUUUGGGGUGUAACCAAACACUUUCCUUGCUUCAGUUAACCUCCCUGAAUCAGCAUACCCAGAAGCCAUAGUGUUCCAAGUGAAUUCACCACUAUGGGGCAUUUUCUCAAACAGUUCUGUGCUUCAUCUAUUUAGCCUGAUCUCACUAGCUCAUUCAAGGAUCUGUUGAUACCAAGCAGAGAAUAGUUUGUACAUCUUUCGUUUCUGCAACCUCGGCCACAAAAAUCGUGAUCUACUUGAAAGUCUUGAGAGUGUAGUCUGUAAUUUCACCUAACGACUGACUGACGUUAUAAUGUCUAUAUGUUGAGGAAUGGGUGAGCGAAAUUACUUAACGGCGUCGUUUAACAUUGUCACUUAAAAUUUUUUAUUUUUUUGGCAAUGAAAAACCACGAUCAGCUUUUUUUUUUUUUUAACAUUUGUUUAACCCAUUCUAUUCUAUUCCAGAGGAAAGGGACCGACAAAAAUUACCACCAUAGAAAACGCUGAAAGUGGCAAGUCACAUGACUGGCGGAAGUAAAAAUUUGAUCCCUUAACACUCAAGUGACUACGAUACCCAAAAAUUCCCCAGCACUUGCACUGCCUAAAUUUAAUGACACUAACCUGUAUAUAUCAUCUAUAUAAUGGAGUGUCCAUUGAGAAAAGGAUCAAUAUUCGUUGACAGUUAGAGUUAUAUAAACAAUCGAAGCUGGGCACUUGAUAAUGAUUAAAAGAUCAAUAACUAUAUUAAAUUUCAAGUUUGGACAGCCCAAAUCUUUACUCCACAAGUCUCUCAACCUCUUUAUUUACAAACUUUUUUUCAGUCACUAUCAAUAGCAAUAUUUCAUUCUCACAUUUUUGGUUGUUUAUAAUUCAUUGUAGACCGAAUUAAAACAUUAAGAAUUCUUUGACAAUUCAAUGUAUAGGUCCUUAUGCCAAAAUAAUGGUUGCAACUUGCAAGCUAAACCACAAGCUAUAGAAAGCUACCACAAAAAGAAACUUGGAUUCUUACAUUGGUUGAGUUUUAUAAGUUUUACCUUCUCUUCCACAGAAAUCCUAACUUUAUGAAUAGCUCCUCCUUUCAUAAGGUUAAUAAAAACCUCGCAUUCAAAAUUUUGUAUUGAGAUUUAUGAGUUUCGAAUAUCCUGAUAAGUAAGUAGAAAGUAUUUUGUUAGUCCCUUUGCUUUGAAGAAGGAACAAAAAGAAGGUUGGAUACGUAGUUAUAUUUAUGAGUAUCCACAAAAUUUAACCAGUAGAUACUAGACAAAACAUGAAGCCAGUUAAAAAUAAAAAUAAGAUUCUCGACAUUGAAUUAUCAUUCAUGCACACAAAAUAAACACGAGCAGAAACACUUCUAAAUACAGGACAUGGCAAAUGGCAGCUGAAUUGGCUGACAGAAAAUUGAGAUAUAACAUGAAGAAUAUGGUGAAUUUCAGUCAAACCUGGAAAAACACACUCUACUUGCUGGAUGGAUGCGUAAAAACCCGGAAACCAUCCUGAUAAAUUCUUGCAGAUAGCUGGUGUUGCUUGAAUUCGUGGCAAUGGAUCUCAAGAUGGCAGGCACGGAAUUCAUUUGGACUAUAAGGGAAAACGCCAGAAAAAUCUCCAUUUUGACUGAUGAAACUAUCUCUUCCGGCCAUGUUUGUAUAUCAGAGAUGAAUUUCAAGAAUCUAUAUAUCUCUUAGGUUUGUUGUUAAUGGUAAUGGGAAUACUAUUUGUAAAGGGAGCAAAUGCCCUCCAGGUCGGAAAUAGAAAGGCCUUUGGCUUUCUUCAAAUUUUCUCUAGCUUACUUUUGUCAUGGCAUGAUGAGAAAGUACAUUUUAAUGCUGAGAAACGAUGGAAACAGACAAAACAAGAAAAGUUCAGCAAUAUCAAAACACCCAGUCCUGUAUAUGCAUUGCUGGAACAAACUCAGAGGCCGCAGCACUGAGAACAUCGUGCAAUAGGAAGCUCAACGGAGGAGCAUGUAAUGGAUCAGACAGAGUUGAAUUAGGGAUAAGAGAUAGAAGGAGAAAAGAGAAGUGAUCAGAAAGGGAAAUUGGGGGAAAGAGAAGAAAGGGCAGAGAAGGAGAAAGAUGAGAUCUUAUUGAGAGGGAAAAUCUGGAUUACAAUCAAGCUAAGCUCCCUAGUAGACAGACGCAUUAUUUAUACAGAUUAGAGCCUUCAGCUCAAGAAAACAAUCUGCAAUUGACUAACUAACUUUCCCGCCAAAUAACUAACUUCCUAAUUCUGUUGUAAUAAUGCUCAGCCACGUGAUCCUGCCCUUGUGAUCACAUUUCCUCUGCUCAUUCCUUUGCUGACUCAUCUUGGUAGCUUGUGCAUGAAGCUUGAACUGAUACGGGCCAUAACAAUACCUCCCCCUAAAAAUAAUCCUAGUCUCUAGGAUUGAUUGAUUGUGAAAGCAGGGAAUUGGGCAUGAAUGAACGACAGGUCUUCCCAAGUGGCUUCCUCAGGUUCCAUGUUUUCCCAUUGCACCAACACCUGAUCUAUUCCCUGACCCUUCCUAUAAAUUGUUCUCCUGUCCAAUACUGCUAAGGGCACUACCUCGAACUCACUAUCUGCAUUCAAGGUAGGCAAUGUAGUACUGACUGGAGCCUCCUUAGGUGACUUCUUGAGCAGUGAGACAUGAAAGACAGGAUGGAUGUUAGACCCUGCAGGUAGCUGCAACUUAUAGGCUACAGUACCUACCUUCUGUUCCACCUGAUAGGGUCCGUAGUACUUGGCAGUGAGUUUUAAAUUCCUUCUCACGGCUACAGAAGUUUGUUUGUAAGGUUGGAGCUUCAGAUAAGCCCACUCUCCCACUUCAAAUUCCCUGUCACUCCUCCCUUUAUCAGCCAACUGUUUCAUUCUAUUCUGAGCCUUUAGCAGGUUCUCCCUGAGCAAGGAAUUCCACCCCAAUCUCUCCUGUGCCCAAUCUUCCACUGCAGCCACUAACGUGGUAUCAGGCCUCAGAUUCAGCUGGAUAGGUUUGUAACCAUACAAGGCCUGAAAGGGUGGCAUUUGCAGACUGCUAUGAUAGUUGGUGUUGUACCACCAUUCAGCUGCAGGAAGCCAUUUCCUCCAUUUCCCUGGUUGAUCCAUGCACACGCUUCUCAAAUAGCUCUCCACACAUCUGUUAACCCUCUCAGUCUGUCCAUCAGAUUGAGGGUGGUAAGCAGAAGAAAAGUUGAGCUCUGUGCCCAGCAUUUUAAAAAGUUCCUGCCAGAAUAGGCUAGUAAAAGCCCUGUCCCUGUCAGAGACAAUGUGGGUUGGUAAGCCAUGCAACCUGAAAAUUUGAUCAAAGAAGGCCUCUGCUACACUUUUAGCAAUGUAAUGAGAGGUCAUAGGAAUGAAGUGAGCAUAUUUAGUAAACCUAUCCACCACUACAUAGAUGACAUUGCAGCCAAAAGACUUGGGUAGCCCCUCUAUGAAGUCCAUAGAAAUUUGUUGCCAAGCUUGCUCAGGUAUAGCUAAUGGUUGCAGCAGUCCUGGAUAAGAGCAAUUUUCACUCUUACUCCUCUUACAAAUAUCACACCCCUGUACAUAUUGUUCCACUUCCCUCUUCAUUCCGGGCCAAUACACAUAGCUCUUGAUCCUCUGAUAAGUACCAUGAUUUCCAGAGUGCCCCCCAAGGCAAGAAUCAUGGAAGCAGGAGAUCAAUUUUUGUCUUAACCCGGAGCCUGCACCUAUCCAUAUCCUACCCUUAAACCUCAAAAUCCCCUGGUGAUAAGAGUGGUCAGGCAGUGCAUCAGCUCCCAUAGCCAACUUCAUCAGUGCUUCUUUAUCUAUUUCAUCCCCAAUGUAGCUCUCAGCCACCAUUGUCAACCAUUGAGGUUUAAUGGUAGUAAGAGAAUGCACAAAUGCUUCUGCUGGAUCUCCCUGCUCACCUCUCCUUGACAAUGCAUCUGCAACCACGUUGUCUUUACCCCUUUUGUACUGAAUCUCAUAAUCCAUUCCCAUCAGUUUAAUCAACCAUUUCUGCUGAAGGGAAGUGUUUAUUUUCUGGUCCAGCAAGUAUUUGAGGCUCUCAUGAUCAGUCUUUAUAAUGAAAUGGUUUCCCAUCAAGUAAUGUUUCCAUUUUUGAACUGCAGUGAUGAGUGAUAGCAGCUCCUUCUCAUAAGUGGAUCUGGUCUGAUUUUUCUGUCCUAACACUUGACUGUAGUAGGCUAUAGGUCUCCCCUGUUGCAUCAGAACUGCCCCAAUGGCUAACUGACUAGCAUCAGUUUCCAACAGAAAUGGCUUUGAAAAAUCAGGUAAAGCUAACACUGGUGUCCUGCUCAUGGCCAUUUUCAACUGCUGGAAUGCAGAUUCUGCAGCAGUACCCCAAGCAAACUGAUCCUUCUUCAGCAACUCAGUGAGAGGUUUGGCCAUCUCUCCGUACCCCUUAACAAACCUCCUGUAGUAACCUGUUAAACCCAAGAAUCCUCUGAGGGCCUUCAAGCAGGUAGGAGUUGGCCAGGACAGCAUAGCUUCUACCUUGGAUGGAUCAGUUUUCACCCCUUCACUAGUAAUUAUAUGUCCCAGAUACUCCACUUGAUUCUGACCAAAUGAACAUUUUGACAUCUUUGCAUAUAGGAAGUGUCUUUUCAAGGUCUCUAGUACUAGGGAUAAGUGGUGUAAGUGAGUUUUGUGGUCUGGACUAUAGAUCAGAAUGUCAUCAAAGAACACAAGGACAAAUUUUCUGAUGUAAGGCUCAAAAACUGAGUUCAUUAGUGCCUGAAAGGUGGCAGGUGCAUUGGUGAGUCCAAAUGGCAUUACAAGGAACUCAUAUAGUCCAGAGUGAGUCCUGAAAGCAGUUUUGGGGAUGUCAUCAGAGUUCAUUCUGAUUUGGUGGUAGCCUGAUCUAAGGUCAAUUUUAGAAAAGACCCUUGCUCCAUGUAACUCAUCUAACAGGUCAUCUAUAAUGGGAAUUGGAAACUUAUCUUUUAU